UUUUUUUUUGCUUUGUUAGAUAAUUAUAGCACUUGCAUUUUUAAAAAAUUCAUAAUAAAUGAUGAUAUAAUGGCUAAUUUAAUAAACUCAUUCACUCAAUGAGUAAUAACAUUGUUUUGUUCAUCAAAUAUUAAUUAGGAUAUAUAUAACAAAAUUAAUUUAAUCAUAUUCCAAACAUGACUUAAAACUUAACAUUAAAAUGGUAUUGAAAACAGAGGAAAAUGCGCAAGACAAAGACACGUUGGGAGUCGGAAAACCAUGCAGCAGCGUACUCAAUUAAGCGUUGACUCUGACAGGCCACUCGCCUAGCUAGAACAACAUUUAAAUACUCCGUUACUGCCAUCAGCCAGCAAAUUAUAAAAACCUCACCUCCUCAGAGUCUUAGUCGGGUUUGUCGGCCACAAUACUUUCACGGAUCACUACUGAAACUGAUGCGAUUCUCAAUGUUGACUAACUAAAAUAAACAGAUCGGAGAAAAUCAUAUACCUUGGUGUUCGAGUUCAUCGCCUCCUCCGCCUCCUCAUCUUUCCGACCAGUAUUAAUCCCAACUUCUUCGUAUAUCACAAACCCCAAAACCAUCACAAAUGCCGGAGGGAUCGCCAAUAAUACCAACGCCACCUACAUCCACCGUCAAUUACCGCCGUCGCCAAUUAAAUUAAAAACUAAGUAUGCUCUAAGCUAGUAAUUAACGCACCUGGGGUCCAAGCAGAUUAAGGAAAAUGCCACUGGAAGAAUACCCAAUCAAAGCACCGACUGACGAACAAAACCCACAAAGACUCUGCAUAUCAGCACUCAGAUGUUUCCUCUCUAUGCUAUUCCUCGCCACACAAGCAUCAAUCGUCACAUCCGCAAUCGCCAUCCCGGCCGUCACACCAACCAAGCAACUCAUCGCAGCAGCCACCGGCAUCCCCGCCCCCGUCAAACCCACCACCAGAGCGGAAACAGAGCCCAAAACCCCCGCCGCCACAAAGUACGGCCUCCGGUUGUACCCGCCGAUGGGGAAGACGUCGGUGAAGAGGCCCCACAGGGGCUUUAGAAUCCAAGGGAUGUAGUAGAACCCCAUGUAGAUCUGGAGCGUGGAAGGUUGGAGCUUCUGGACGUCUUUCCAGUAGUAGUCGGUGACGACUCUGAAGAAGGAGCCAGAGAAUCCUUGGCUGAGGCCGUAGACGAUGAAGAUCCCCAGGAUGAAUGUCGGGUUUAGAUUUGAUGAGAGCAUUUGUAGCCAUUGGAACGGCGAGAUUAGAAAGGAUCUGGUGAGAUUUGUAAUGUUGUUGUUUGGGGAUUUUGUUUGGUUUGUACGGCGUUCUUCUUGAUGCGGAGGGUUUUUGAUGAGCUGCUCGGUUUCCAGGGAGAGGGGAUUCGACGUCGACGCCAUUGCUGGAAUAGAUCAAUACUGUGUAGAGGAGGAAGAGGCUGUCUUCUACUCUUCUUCUUCUUCUUCUGUUGCUUCUACCAUUGGGUUGACUUCUUCAUGCAGCGUGUGCUAGGAUCAAACUGCAAUGUGGAUCAAUGACUUUUACCUCUGUUAUCCGGACUUAAUUAUUACUAAUUACAAAUAUGCGAUGCGACUUAUCAUUGAAUUUAUGUGUAGUAUAUGUUUUUUUUUAUUUGUAAUAACGAAAUAAUAUUAUAUUAUUAAGUUGAUAUGUAUUAUAUAAUGGAAAUAUUAUAAUAUAUAUAUUUGUAUUUGUAUUUGCUAUACAAAAAACUUAAUUUGCCUAGACAAAGCAAUACAAUACAAAUAGUUGUGUAAUCAUCGGUAGUUCAAAAGAAUUAUGAUUGUAUGGAGCAAAUGGUAGGUAGAAUAGUAAGUUUGAACGGGUAAGACGUUGAAUCGUUUUUUUUUGGGUAAAAUACUUAAAUUAUUUCAUUAAAGAUUUGGAGNNNNNNNNNNNNNNNNNNNNNNNNNNNNNAUUAAAAGCUCAUAACUCAUUAUUUUGUAUUAGCCAAACAACGUAAUUUUUAUACCUCAAAUGUUUUGCACCUCAAGAAUAACACACUUUCAAAUAUGCAUCAUUUUACUUCCAAAUACCUCAUUUACAAAAUAACUCAUUCAAACGAGAGACAUAAUACUGUGCUAAAAAUAGACUUCAGCAGCUUGCUGAAUUUGACUCUAACCGUCAAAUCUUUAACUUUUUAGCUCAUUUCAAUCUAAAGGCUCAUAUUUAAGUGGUUAGUUUGGGCAUUAAAAACAUUUUUUUUUCUUACUUUUUCUUUUAAAAUUAAUUUAUAUAGAAUUACUCAUUUUUUAAAGACAAAAAUAACGGGUGCUUCCACUACUCAAUAAGAAAAUAUUUUUUCCAAUUUAUUUUGAGCAUAACUUCGUCGUUCCAAAUCUAAUUUUGAUACUCUUAAUAUGAUUGAUAAUUAUGUAUAAAUUGCUAAUAACUAUCUAUAAAUUUAUAAUAACUAUAUUUUACUCUUGUUGUUAAUAACUACCUUAAAUUUGCUAAAUAACUACAUCUAACUCGAUAAUAAUUAUGUAAAACUUUAGCUAUAAGAUUAGGGUAAUCCUAUGAUAAGUAUUGUGGUUUUCCAAUAAGGACAUGUUGUCCAAUAGUUAGGUUUACUACUUUUGAAUUUUUGCAUUUUAUUUGGCUAUUUUUGUGUCGUUGAUCCCAUUGUCGUUGUUCGCGGACAGGACAGCUAUGAUUGAGGUUCUUGUAUUACAAAGACCCGAAAUUUAUACAGCUUCGCUUGUGAUGACUGUACCUCCGGUUGGACACUUAUACGACCUUUUGGUUCGUUUAAGAGGAAUGAAGUGAGGAUUUUAUAAAAAAACAAUUCAAAUUUUUUUUAAUAAAAGAAAAUUCUAUAUAAUAAUUCACUUUAAAAUGAUUCAUUAUAUACCAAACAGUACAUUAGGGUUUACAUUGUUACGACUUACGAGCCCAAAACUUACACGACCCCAGCGGAAUGUUUAUGACCCUUCAGGCCUUCACAAAAUUGUGUGCUCCCACUCCAAACGCUAGACGGAACAGCAGCCAAGCCAAAAGAGCGCCGGUCGCGACGAUCCUUAGUUAUUACGACCUGGUUUUCAAACUCAACUCCGCCGCCGCUGCUACCGUAAUCGCCGGAAAAUCCCCAACUUGGUGUUUCCCAUGGUAAAAUUUGUUUUUUUUCCCCAUCUAUCCUUGCCCUUCUCUUCUCCAUGUGAAGUUCGCGGUCAAUUCGUUAACUUUCCAACUCUCCUGACCAGCUUUCUCUGUAUCCUGGGAAAACAAAAACUAGGGUUUCUCUUCUCCUCGUCUCACCUCUCAACCGAGAAAUUAAUCGUGGGAAUCUUUUGAUUUUCUCAACCCAACUAGGAUAACCUUAGAGAACUGAUAAUGUUGCAUUUUUCUCUGGUUUACUGCUUAAAUGCUUUGAGAUGUUCCAUUACGGGUGGUUCUGUAUAUCUUUACAAUCACGCCCUAGUUAGUAGUUAGUGUUUCUUCAUCCUUUAUAGUCCACAUACUACCCUAAGGCUCAGACAUUGAUUCAUUUCAGCACACACUUACUUUGGAUUACGUAGCUAUUACUCUCUACUCUGACUGACAUUUAUGCUCUUAAAAUGUGUCAUGUCACAGGCUAAUAGGCACACGAUAAUUCUGAUGCAAGCCUCGCCGAACAGAGCAACGAGGACCUUCAUGGAUUAUGGGUCUGUAAGUCAGGCCAUGGAAGGUUGUCUUCCUGCUUAUAUCUAAACAUUUUCUGCGAGUGUUCGUGCUUUUGUUUCCUAUCACUGACGUGUGUUUUAUUUUCUUGAAAACUCUCAACUAAAUAUUAAUAUAUCAACGAAUGUUCAAGAUAUAACCACAAAUUGCUGCGUUAAGCUGUUUUCUUAAGGCAUUCCGUUGUGGUGGUUCAGAUGUUUGCUACAGCUCUCUCCCUUUAGAAUAUGCGUUAUUUUCAUUCACUUACUGACUCUCCACCUGCUUCCUGAAAUUCCAGGUAUUUGUGGAAUUUACGAAAGAAAGCUUAAGGAAAUAAAUCCAGCUGUGAGAAACAUCAGUUAUGACAUUGCCGAUCUGUACAAUUUCAUCGAUGGCCUUGCAGACAUGAGCGCAUUAGUGUACUUUCUCUAUCUCCUUCUCUUUUUGUCUUCCUCCACUAGUGUAUUGCCUGUUCAUUUCACGUUCUAAGUUCAAACUGAUUCUAUCUCAUGUCAAUGUCUGGUAGCUAGUGUGUAUAUAAAUAGAAAUGAAAUCUUCUCUUGUUCUUUCCCAUUUUUGGUUUAGAAGAAAAAAGAACUUUUUGGUUGGAUGGGUUCUGUGAUUAUGAGUUGUAAACAAGUCUCUUGUUAGGAUUCUUCGGAACUAAAUGUUUAGCUUUUAAGGGACAGUCUCACACGAAGAUUUUUGUGAAUUUUGUGGCUGUAGUUGGUUGUUGGUAUUUCAGCUAGAUGAUUAAGUAGCCACAACUCGAAGUUGAUAAGCCUUCGUAGAAGCUAAAACAUAAUGAUCUUGCAAACUCAAAAUUUUCUUAUUGAUUUGAUUUCCUAAAGGCCUAAACUGCACUGUAAGUACUUUUUAUUGAAAAGCUUGAAGCAAAGGAAUGUGAAUUAUCAAUUAUGUUUCUUUUGACAAUUGAGUUUUGUAAUGGAUAUAAUACAUGACAAGUGAACAUCUUCUAUUUCAGCUAAAUUAAGAACCCCUUGUUUGGGUAUAGAGGGACUUGAACCCUUAUGAUUUCUAGCAUAUUUCUAAGAUCUAUUGGAAACUGAAUAGUAAGACUCCUACUACCAGAAACAAAGGGAAUUGGAAAAAGAAACGAUCUCCUAAUUGCAUAGUGAAUCCAGAACCAAUGUAGAACUGAAAUUGACAGAAUGAAACCCCAUUCUCCAGAUCAAAUAACCAUGAAUUCCAACAACAAUUGUUCUCUCUUGCAUGGAAUGCAUCGUAUGUGGUGGUUGGUCUUUACAUCUGUAGUUUAAUCUCUACAAUAUGGUUUCAUCUUGUUUACUUGGAUACCAAAGAAGCUAGAGGCGAAGCGUUACACUGUUGUGCAUAUCACGUGCAUAUUUAGCGUUUAUCUGUCAUGAUGGGUUGACUGUAAUGGUUUGUAUUUGUGAUUGCAGUUACGAUCAAAGGAUUCAGGCUUAUCUGCCAUAUGACAGACAAUGGAUCAAACAGAAGACAUUUCAACACCUCAAAAUGUUGGCCGCACAAUGAGUGCUGACAUACGUGAUGAUGCGACUGGAGUUUGUGUUUUGCUGCCUGUAUUUUUUCAAAGUCUGUAGGGCCCGAAUUCAGCAGUGCACAUUAAGUAUAUACUAUUGCUACCAAAAACGAAACAAAUUAUUGUUUAGAAUGUGAGAACUGUGUUCCUUCUGCCAAUGGUUUUAGUGUAAGCCCUCUCAUUGUGCAUAAAUAGUUGACAGACUAUUUCAGCUCACUCACUGCAGACGUGAUUAAUCCAGUAUCUAUUGUGGGUUUUGGUAUUUAUGAGUUACCUACUGCUUUGUUGGUUUUCAUUUGAGAUGGAGGAAUUAGCACUCGUUUAGGAAAUCCUUCUGUGAGGUGAAUUGUUGGCUAUCAAAUUAAGAAAAGAUCUGCCAGAUUCGGUGCUUGCUUACUUCUUCUGGGUUUGACGAAAAACAUUAUAACAUUUUGAAUUUCUUUUUCUAUCUUCAUUCCAAAACACAAUUUAGUUCCACUGGCCUAAGUGGAAUAGCAUAGUUGAUAACAUUGUAUUGUAUGCUGGCGAUUAUGAGGUAUCAUAUGCAAAUGUAAUAAUUCCAUUGCAAUUUGCCCCACAUUAAUGAGAACCGUAAUCUUCUCAUCAAAUAGACUCUUAAAGCUGAUUCAUAGCCCAGGGUCGAACACCGAUGCGAUGGAGCAAGUAAAACUAGUACAAUCUGACCGUUGAAUGUUGAUGUAUCUGAACGUUUAGUUUCUCAAGUGGUAGUUACUAUUUAUUACUGAAAGCCUACUUCACUUCUUUACUCUGCAUUGUCCUCUGUUGCCUUUCUCAGUGGAGUUAGACGUAAAUCGCCCCGUCAAGCUCACCGGAAUAGAAAAUAAACGAGGUAGCUUAGUUUCUUAUAUCGCUGACUUACAAUGGUUCUUUAAUGUGUUUCCCUUUGUAGUCUCACAUUGACUUGUUAAUUAGGUGAUGUACUGAUGUUAUUAUUGUCUUUUUUCACUGUACAUCUUCUGAUGUUUGUUUUGAUGGAUGAUAUGUUGAAUGGAAAAUGAGAAGGAGUUGGUUACACCUUAUAAUACUGGUGUUGGAACCGUCGUUUUAUGUGGACGUACUGGUAACAGGAAGAGUGCUACCGGGAACACCAUUCUCGUCGAAAAGUGCUUCAAGUCUAUGGUCAGUUCAUCUGCUGUCACAACUUGCUACGAUUUGCAGACGACUCUUAUAGAAGAUGGUCAAAUCUUAAACGUCAUCGACACUCCUGGUAUAUUGUAACAAAGCUCUCUCUGUCUUGUUACGUACGCCUCAAAUGUUUCAAGAUGUUGAUCAUGCUUUGUUUCAAUGGGCAGCACUGCUUGGAAGUUGCGUUGAAUCUGAUUCUCUUGGCAAGGCAAUCGUAAAUAUGGCCAGAAACAAGAUCCCUGCAGUCAUUCUUGUGUUAUCAUUAAGCAAUCGCUUCACGGAAGAGGAAGAAGCAGCAAUUCGUUGCCUCCAGUGUUUGUUCGGACGAAAGAUAAUGUACUACACGAUUGUAGCGUUCACCGGUAGAGAUAAACUUGAGGAGGAGGGUAUUAAAACUUUGAAUGAGUAUUUAUUUGGGUCGCAACUGUCCUCGGUCGUUAAAGGUUAAUAAUCAAUGGUCCAACUGAUCUUUUCCUUACUGUAUAGGGAUUGUGUUUGUUUGUAUGGAUAAGAGUUGUAUGGAUCGAUGCCGGAAAUUCUAGCACUUUGCGACAAUCGGAUGCUGCUGUUUGAUAACCACACGAACGAUGAAGUCAAUAGAGUCGAACAGGUUAGGCAGCUAAUGACACUAGUAGACGGAAUCGCUGUGCAGAAUGGCGGGGAGUAAUAUCUGAAGUGAUGAAUCUGAAAGAGGAAAUGAAGAAUGAGCUUAUUGGAAUGAAUGAAAUGGUAGUAAUCUUCUGCUGUUAUAUACUUAUAUCAUAUGCUGUGUUGGUGCAAAGUAUGCAAGCUAACAAUCGUAUUGUGGUGAUGCACAACACAGAUUAGGAUGAAGCAGGAUACGACUGAGACGACGGCUUCGUAUCGAUACUGGUCAUUGCUUUAUUAUUACUCCUUAUGUUGUUCUUGGAGUCGGCUUCCUAUUGUGUCAACCAACGUUGCUAUACCUUUGGUUUAUAGGGUUGCUGCUUUUUAUGUAUUGUUGUCCAUCAACACAUUCAUUGUUCUCCAUCAAACUACUUGGGGUUCUAUUAUUUGCGUAUCCAGGAUCGAAAUAUGUAUUGAAUCGAAUUUGAAUAGAUUUGAAUCAAAAUUUGUGUAUAGAGUAAUCAAUGUAAGAAUACAUUUUUGUAACGAAAUACUAAGUUAAAAUAUACCAGAAAUCAUCUGUUAUGUUGUUUUUAGUAAUAGCAAGUUAUCUUUAAAGAUUGAAUAUUCCAUCCGCGAUUUCUCCCCCUUAACUAAGUAUAGUAGACACUAGUAUUGAGUCAAAAUUAUAAUUAUAUGUAUCGAGUACUGAACCGAAAUAAUAAAACACUAAGCCGAAUCUAAAAUUAUUUUGAGCCGAGUUCGACAUAAUCAUAAAUAUCUAUCUGAAUUCAUAAUUAGCCGAAAUUACCAAAACCCAUAGCUAUUCGGGCACCCUCUAUAUUUAUCCAUGGGUUCUGUUUAGAUAAGGUUUUAGGGUUGAAAGAUAUUUUCAUAUUUUCAAAUAGGGUAUGAGUAAUGAGUUGAGGGUAUCUAAACCCAUAUUCUAUUCAUCAAUUUUUUUAAGAAUAUUCUUCAUAAUCGUCCUGUUUAAUAUGAAUAUUAUCCUCUUUGAUCGAAUCAAAUAGACUAAUUAUUAAUGAAUAUUUUUAAUCGAAUUCAGCCAAUAUUAGGUUCACGAUGUGGGCAUAAAAGGUAAUAAAUCAAUAGUAAAAUAACUACUCAGUCCGAAUAAUUUAGACCCUUAGAUCGAAUGAAACCUAAGUCCCUCAAAUGUUGGGAUCAGUCAUCAGAGAACAAUUGGACUCCGUUAUACGGACCAACCUAAACCCGGAAUUUGCAUUCCUGAACCGGGAGCCUGCUGUACGCACCCACCUUCGCCGCCGACUCGCCGGCAUCGUUAUUCAACCGUAGGCGACUACUGCUACUUUCUGGCUGCUGCAACGCUUCAUUAAUAGCGGAGCUCCUCUUAUCAGCUACCCCACGCCACCGACGCCUGUUUAUGUCUCUAACAGACAACGACGAAUUGCUCUGUAAUUGAUCCUAUCAAGGUCAUCACUUUUUCUUCUGCUUUUCAAUUGACACGGAAUUUAACUCCUUUCGGACGCACUGUUGUCGGCUUAGCAUCCUUAGCUUGGGUUUGCUUCUAUGUGUUACAUUGGAUGUGGAACCGUUCCCGUUUAGGGUUCAUGUCAAUUUAUCUCUUUAGAUAAUUUGAUCUACUCUGGUUUGAUUGCCAUUUCUGUUUCGAGCUCAUGAUCGUUCUGAUAUGUAUCUGCUCUUUCAAUUCAUGCCUUUUGCUGGUGUAACGUUUAUGGAUAAUCCCGAAUUUCUUAGGUGAGCGCCAAUUGUACUGUUAACUUUGGCAGAGAUAGGGUUUUGUCUAGCCUCCGACUGACUCGUAGCCUAGAAGGAGGAGAACGCAUUCAUCCAUGCCCGUGUAUGCUAUGCUUGGCCUUACUGUUUAAAAAGUUGUUUCUUUUCUUGGGACUAGGACUGGAAGUGCAAGACAGUGCCCCAUUUUUUAUCCGCUGGACUAUGUCAUUCUUGACGUUUAUGAUGAUUCCUUGGUCAACCCUUAGGGCAGAAAAGACUCCCGUGGAUAUUGAUUUAAAUACUUAUGCAUGGGAUAUGCCAUGUCAGUUGCCUAAUUAGAUUGUCAUCGUAGAAAUUUCAUCAGGUGUUUAGGUUGUGCGUCCUUUUUGCAUGGUGCCGGGAGUGUCUGGCUUUCUUAAUCUUUGAAGUUUGACAAGUUCUUUGGAAUUGCCUGUAUAGAAGUUGAUGGAAGAUGAGUUCCUUCUCCAUUACUCGCAAGAAAACCCCCUUCCAGAAACAUAGGGAGGAAGAGGAAGCAAAGAAGAAGGUAUGCGUAUGUAGCAUCCCUUAAUCUGGGGCAUGUUUGCUCUUUGUUUAGUUAGCUAUAUUCAUGAAGAGUUCUCUCAUAUUUGGUCUGCUGUUACUAUGUGAAGAGGGCGGAAGACGAAACAGCUCGUUUAUAUGCCGAGUUUGUGGAGUCAUUCCAAGGAGAUACUGCUGGUUCAAAGGCAUUUGUCAGAGGUGGACUGAUCAAUCCUAAUGAGAAAGCGAAGGUUGAUUCUGAAGGUUAGUGUGCAAUUGAUCUUUCUGACUUUAGAAGUUCCACUUCACUGUUAUGUCUUGUAUGCCCAUUUGACAGUAAGGAUGCAUAAACUGUUUUUCUUCUAUUAUGGGAGCACAUUAUUAAAAAUCUGGGCAUUUUUAUUCAUUCCCGGAUGGCAGGUGAAAAGUCCAAAGAUGGGGUUUCUGUUCCAAAGAAGGGAAGUAGGUAAACUGAUGAUUUUUUACUGAUCACGCAUGUCAUGAUGCUAAAUUGCAAGGCAUUAUAAUCAGCAAUGCAAUCCUUUGGGUGCUCGAAAUCUAUAGGAUAUAUAACUUAGCGUUAUCGACUUUUAAAUAUCUGCAUCCUCCUUUUGUUGAGAGCUGUCUUUGGUUGGUUUACAUUUAUUGUUUCCGUAAUUCUUUCAGAAGGUUUACUAGUAGAAAAUGCAACAUUUUUGUCCAUAAUUGUAACAUCCAAUUUUUGCUAUAGUUUGUAUCAAGAAUUGUUGCUUUGUUUGUUGUGUCCUUGCGAUGCUCACUUUCUCCUGUGCAAUUCCAAGGAUACAUAUGAUUUUUCUGACAAAAAUAUAUACCUAAGCACAUUGAAAUCUACAUUCCACUUAAAGACAUUGUUCUUACUAAGUCAACACAGGAAGUUCGUACUUGUCCUAUGGCAUGGAAGUUUAUCUUUCAUAUCACCUCUGCAGGUAUGUCCCAUCCUUUUUACCACCUCCCAUGACAUCCAAAGGAAAAGAAUCCGAGAAGAAGGUCUGUAUUCUAAAAGCUGGUGGUUAAUACAUGCUGAUUCUUUGUGAAUGUACUUUAAACGUCCCAUAUACGUUGCAGAGGGAGGAUGAAAGACCAAAGGAAAGGGAAAAAGGGAAGACCAGAAAUAUUGAUCAUUUCAUGGAAGAGCUGAAGCAUGAACAUGAAUUGAGGGAGAGAAGGAAUCAGGAACGUGAGAAUUGGCGUGAUGGUUGUCCUAGUGAGAGUUCUCUUGUAAGUAUUACUUGUUCGCCCAAUUGGAAAACCAAUAUAUUUGUACAUUGCAUAUCUUCAAUCUUAUACUGCUGGCCGAAAUUGUCUGUACUAUUACUAAGUUACUAUCCUCCACAGGCGUCUAGUCGGUUUGAUGAACUACCUGAUGACUUUGAUCCAAGCGGAAGGCUUCCAGGAUCAUUUGAUGAUGGUGAUCCUCAAACUACCAAUCUUUAUGUGGGAAAUCUUUCACCUCAGGUAGCAUGCAUUGAGAAAUUUGUUGGAUGGGUAUUUCUUGUUCUUUGUAUUUUCUGUAGAAUACUUCGCUGAUCCAAUGUCAUUUUUACUAAUCUAGGUUGAUGAGAACUUUCUUCUGCGCACUUUUGGAAGAUUUGGGCCUAUUGCUAGUGUAAAGAUAAUGUGGCCUAGAACAGAUGAAGAACGUAGGCGACAAAGAAAUUGUGGAUUUGUAGCAUUCAUGAACAGAGCUGAGGCACAAGCAGCAAAAGAUGAAAUGCAAGGUUGAUCUAAAGUUUGUUUGUUGGAUCGUGGCUGAUAUGAUCAUAGAGGGAAAUAUUUUGUAGACAAAUACCAACGUUUCUCAUUUAUUGGCAUCAGGAUUAACCCUUAUUUCUUCUAUUAUUGUAUAUAAGAAUCGUCUCAUGGAAAUAUUUUGUAUAGGAGUGAUUGUUUACGAGUAUGAGUUGAAAAUGGGAUGGGGUAAAUCUGUGGCUCUCCCUUCACAAGCUCUGCCUGCUCCUCCUCCGGGUCAAAUGGCCAUCAGGAGCAAGGAGGUAUGUAACACAUUUUUUUGGAAGACUAAUAGAUAUGGUGCUUUCCAUUUUAGUUUUGCAAAACUUGGCUUUCUAUUAUGUGAAUGAUCCGCAAGUGCAUGUGUUUUUCAGCAAUUUAUGCAUAAUUUUGUUUCAACGCUUUUAGUCCUCUCGUAAAUAGUGGUCCUUGUUUGUUAUUUGUGUUCCCAUAGUGCUUGCAUCUUUGCCUACUCUUCUAGGGUGGGUUUAUUGAAUGAUGCAGCUUACUUCAUUUAUAUUUUUUGUCACGAAUGUACUUCUGUGUUUCAGGGUGCCACUGUUAUUCUCUCUGGUCCAUCUGGUCCACCUGUCACCGCCAUUCCUAAUCGGAAUUCUGAAUUGGUAAGUUUGCCAAAUUUUCAUUAUAGUGAUUACUGUAUGACUUGGAUCUCAUAACCCAACCCCAACAAGUUGCGUGAAUUGCCUGCAAUUGAUCGUCGUGUGUCUGGCUGCUCAAGUUUUAGUUUGGACAUGAAGUGGUUUUUAAUUAUAAGCCACUUCUUCUAGCAGUGUUGGUUUAAUUUUGUUAUGUUAUAUUACAGUAGUUAUUUGAUUGAAGUGUUAAGUGUCUCUUUCAUUUGAUAAGCCACUUCAAGCGAUCAAGACUUUCAUUAACAAUCUCAUUCUGGUGCUCAGGUUCUUACUCCAAAUGUUCCUGAUAUAACGGUUGUUCCACCUGAUGAUGAUCAUCUUCGUCAUGUGAUUGAUAUGAUGGCUCUAUACGUACUAGAUGGAGGGUGUGCUUUUGAACAAGCUAUCAUGGAAAGGGGUCGUGGGAAUUCCCUUUUUAACUUCCUAUUCGAGCUUGGCUCGAAGGACCAUACUUACUAUGUCUGGAGGGUCUAUUCAUUUGCACAGGUAUAUAUGAUAUUUGCUCCUAUAAUAUGUGGGUAACAUUACAUGAAAUUGACUAUUAUAAGUACUUAGUACGGUAAUUAUUUGUCUCAUGGUGCUCUCAUUAUGAAAUACAUUGAGAGAUUAUAAUCUGAUGCGUUCUACUUGCUUGGGUAUUGAGAACAUUCAAUUUUUUUGGAUUGCAGGGUGAUACUCUUCAAAGGUGGAGAACAGAGCCCUUUAUCAUGAUAACUGGCAGUGGGAGGUAUUUUUCAUGAAUCAAUUAUCUACAAUAACAAGGUUUCCCUAGGCACUUCUAUUAUACCUGCAUGGAAGUUACUUAAUUUUAUGUUUGAUGAUACCUAGAUGGAUACCGCCGCCUCUGCCAACCAUUAAAACUCUAGAGCAUGAAAAGGAUGCUGGUUCUACUUAUGCUGCAGGAAAAACCAGGGUUUAUACCUACAUUCUUUCUGCAUGAGAGGUUAAUUGUCUAUGGCUAACAAUUAAUUCCUAACCAUUUCCAUUUCAAUUUGCACAGCGACUUGAUCUAGAACGAACUCUAACUGACCCUCAGAGGGAUGAAUUUGAGGAUAUGCUGCGUGCACUGACACUAGAAAGAAAUCAGAUAAAGGAUGCCAUGGGUUUUGCAUUGGACAAUGCUGAUGCUGCUGGAGAGGUUAUGAUCUCAUCUUAUGUUUGCUUGAUCACUUCACAUAAAAUAUUAUGAACUGCAUAUUGUGUAUCAUUACACGAAUAUGCAUUAGUGCAUGAAUUUCAUUCAUGCAUUGGAUUGGAUUGUUCAAAAAACAAAAAGAUUGGCCUUUUCAAAUGACGUGGUUAUUAUUGAGCCUGUAUUAGAAGCAACCUCACAGAAGGACUUCCAGUCUUCUGACCUUUAUACUUAUCGAAGCUUAUAUAUCUUAAUGCCCCCUGUAGGUAGUGGAGGUCCUGACAGAAUCAUUGACCCUGAAAGAAACUCCUAUUCCGACAAAAGUUGCAAGGCUCAUGCUUGUAUCUGAUGUCCUUCACAAUAGCAGUGCUCCUGUAAAGAAUGCUUCUGCAUACCGGACCAAGUUUGAAGCUACUCUUCCUGAUAUAAUGGAGAGCUUUAAUGACUUGUACUGCCGUAUAACUGGGAGGAUCACUGCCGAGGCCCUCAAGGUUGGUUGAAGUGCCAAAUCUCCGGUCCUUGUUUUGCUUCACUACUUUAGCAUGAUUCAUCGAUCCCACAUCUUUGUUUCAUUAUUCAACAGGAACGAGUUCUUAAAGUUCUACAAGUAUGGUCAGAUUGGUUCCUGUUCUCAGAUGCAUAUGUGAAUGGACUUCGGGCGACUUUUCUGCGAUCUAGUAACUCUGGUGUGAUCCCUUUUCAUUCUUUAUGUGGUGACGCUCCUGAAAUAGAGAAGGAGGCUAGUUCCGAAGCAGUUGGUGAUGGAGUGAAGACCAACCAAGAUGCUGCACUAGCAAUGGGCAAAGGAGCAGCAACAAAGGAGCUGAUGAGUCUUCCUCUUGCCGAGCUGGAAAGACGUUGCAGACAUAAUGGGUUAUCUCUUGCUGGUGGUAGAGAAACAAUGGUUGCUAGAUUGCUCAGCCUGGAAGAGGCAGAAAGACAGAAGGGUUAUGAGUUGGACGUGGACGUAAAAAGUUCCCAAAGCCAGUCAACCUCUGGGUUUACAAUUGGUUAUAAAGAAACUGGUGUGGGUCUUCAAGCUGGUGGAUUCUCUGGAUGGGAUGGUUCUAGGACGGAUGGCAUACCCGUAUCUUCAACCCUUCAAAUACCUCAUCCACCGCCAAAAGCUUUCGCAAAGAGAGAGAAGAUGGACCCUGUCUUACCGGAAUCUAAAUGGGCUCGAGAUGAUGAUGAAAGUGAUGACGAGCAAAAGAGAAAUACUAGGGGUAUGGGGUUGAGUUACUCAUCUUCUGGAAGUGAAGAUGCUGGCAAUGAGCUGGGUAAGGCUGAUGAAGUUGAUUUCUCCAUGGACGGAAGUGUUUCAGCUCAACCUAGCAAUGGGUUAAACGAAGAGCAAAGGUACAGUUGGCAUGGUUGAUUUUCCGGUUUUGCUGUGUGCUUAAAAAGGACAUGCUUAACAGAUGUUGCAUUCUAUAGUAUCAAUGCACCUUACAUAAGUAUUUGCUGCUGCUACUGAUAUUGCAGACAGAAAUUGAGGCGUUUGGAGGUUUCUUUAAUAGAAUAUCGCGAGUCCCUUGAGGAAAGAGGGACAAAAAGCUCAGAGGAAAUUGAGAGGAAGGUGACCAUGCAACGGAAAAGGCUAGAAGCGGAAUAUGGUCUCUUGAAUACAAAUGAAGAUACAACUAAGAAGGGUAAUAGAAGUUAAUUUUGUCUUGUGAAUUCUUUUAGUGUAUGAUAACAGUAUGACAGAACUCAUAUGCUAAUCUGACUGUGUGCAGGUGACAGAGGGUGUGGGGAAAGGAGGGAGAGACGAGAGAGCAGCAGUAACCAAGAAUCAUCAUCAUCAUGGCCGAGGAAGCGACAAAAGAGCCAAGAAAGUGGAAGCGAGAGCCCUGGUUGGAGACCACUGAGGGAGAGGGAGAACGAGCAGGAGAGAGAGCGUGAAAGGCAUCGUAGAGAUGGUAGAGGUCGGGUAGAGGAGAUAGAAAGACGGGGCUGGCGUGAGAAAAGUGGGAGUAGAGACCGGGAUGAUCAUGAAAGAAGAGCUGGAAGCAGAGACAGGGAUGUGGAUAGGAGGAGACGAUAUAAAUAAAAUGAAGAGGAUUAAACUUGGGCAGGAAGUGCAAGUGGGAAAAUAAAAUUGUUGUCAGACUUGGGCAGGCUAGAGUGGGGUGGGUUAAAAUAUGGAUUGAAGAAGUCCAACAGAAGUUGUAACUUUGAGUUAAGCUAAAAGGAUUGCUGGGUUUUGGUGAUGGUAUUGUUUGUAUCAUUCAGUCAUGAUGUAUGAUAAUUGGCUCACUUGGCUCUUUGUUGGAAGAUAUAAGUAGAGAGCUCGUUCGUUGUUUAUUAUUCUAUUACUAGCUUGGAUAUACUCGAUAGUCAAUGCUGUUGAUCUUUAAGCCACAAUCCUAGAAUUCAUGUGUCCUGUAGGCUUGCUGAUUGGAUUGCAGUCUCAACUAAGAAUCUUGUUUUUCCUCAGAACUAGUUUUCUCAAGUUGUACUUAGGGGAACUUGGGACUUGCCUGUGUAUCGAAAUUUCAAAGUCUAAUUUAAUGAAGCAUACCUUUUUCGACAACAAAUAACGGUCUUUUGUUUUUGCAGCAUUGCUAGUCGUUGAAACUAAUCAGCUCUUGAACUAAAAGGACAUGAAAAGGAUGGUCAAACGAGCCAAGCUACAAAACAAUUUUUAAAGCAACCCAGCAAAAAACCUUGGGAAGGAAAAAAGAAGCCAGCAACUUUUCUUCUUACUGCAAUCUCAGUAACAAAGCCGGUAGUAGAAAUAACUUGCAAGAAAAUGAGAGCAUAGCAGAGAAUUCAAAUUGCUUCAGCAUAACAAAACCAGCUUCCAUAGCCAUCAUUGAGCGACAAUCGAUUUUGCAUAUCGUACAACAAGUUUCUUGACUCGGCACUAUAAAAAAUUUCAUCUUUCCCUAUAUUUCUUUCUCAUAGACUUUGGUGUACAACAAAAAUUUACCAACCAUAAAUCAGUUGUGAAAUUCUCAAGCCUCAAACAAUAGUGUGAUCUUCUUUCUUUCUAUUUUUCUUUCUAUUGGUUUGGUCACCUCAGUACUGCUGAAUGCUGAUGCUCACUGAGCCACAUCUGAAUAUAUUACAAUGUACAUUGAACAAAGCAUAUAUUCUUUCAGCCAAAAUCUUUUCAACUUCUUUUGCCAGCUCAUAGAGUAUGCAACUCUGAAGGAAUUUCAACACCCUAAGGGUGUCAUUCAUUGAUGAGUCUACUUACCCGUAUGAUCAUCAGUGCUACUAACCAAGGACACCAAUUCCAAGUUUCCAUUUUCAGCAUUCCCUGUUCUUUCUUUCACAUCCAUGAUCUCCGUUGGAAGUAUGGAAGCAUUUGGAUCACCAGCAGGGAUCAAAAAUAGCAACACAAGCGGAGCGAUUCUCAACACAUUCCUCAGGAUGAUGACAAGCCAGAGGUUGUCGAAAUUCGUUCGAGUGACGUUCAUCAGGUGCAAGAGGAUUCCACCUCCCCAUGAAGACGAGAGAGUGCCGAGAUUGUCAAUGGACAUAAGGAGAGCAAAGAAAGUUCCUUCAAUUCCAGGAGGGCAUAACUUGGAGCUCAACACAAGAAGGGGCAUCCAUUUCAGCCUCCCAAUCAUCUGAAUCACACUCUUAUCAAUCACAGCAAAGAAGUAAUCCGGCAUGCCAAAUUUCAAGUUCAAUCUCAGCACCAGAAUCAAAUCCAGCAUCCCAGCUAUACCAGACAGAAGUUGAGUCCAGAAAAGCAAGUUGCGGAAAGGAUGAUCCUUUAGAACAUUCUGGUAUAGUAUAGCCCCCAAGAGAGAUCCGAUCGAGGCUAUCGAGAAUAUGAAACCAACAGUUUCCUGCACACGGUUAGCCAUAUUCUGUCAGAUGAACAUCAUUUGGGAUUCAAGGAACAUGCUAGAUAUUGUCUAUGAUGAUCCAGGGAAGAACCUGAGAAAAAGAAGGACCAUCCUUCGAGUCGGUAUACCAGUAGAACAAGCCUUCAUCAAUAUUGACACUCAAAGCGAGAGAUAGGUACAUAUACAUGCAUGGUCUCCAUACUUCUGGGAAGUUCAGAGUGGUCCACAUUGCCUUCCCAGCUGCAAGAAACCUAUGGCUUACCUGAGAAAAAACAAAACCACGUUAGAUAACUGUUUAACAGGGAAGAAUGGCAAUAAUGCAACGAGCACAAGUCGAAAAAAGACAUCCAAAUACCUGUCUGUAACUGAAAUCAGUCAUGAAAGGCUCUUCAAGCAGAACUCCUACCGAUAACACAAGUCCAGCUGGGAUUGCUAACAGUCCGAAAACUCCCUAACAGGAUUGAAAAUUCCAACACCUGAAUUAAAAAAAAAUGCAGAACUGAACGAGAAAGGGAAAAAACAAUAAAAAAAGUAUGAACCUUUGGGCCAAGGAGAUGAACAAAUAUGCCACUGAAACCAAAUCCAACUAAAGCUCCAACGGAUGAACUCAAAGCACACAAGCUUUGCAUAUCAGCAGCAAGGGAAUGAUGGACAUUGCUCUGUUGCGCCACACAGGCAUCUACCGUUACAUCUGCUAUUGCAACACUAGCACUUCCAGUUAUCAAAAGCAAAAGAGCUAACGCUAAGUGCAUCUUCUCACCCAAUGACAACAGAAGCAUUGAAGCCAUGCCAAUCAGUCCUGGACAGCAAGUACAAGGACAAACUCAAAAAACAGGCCAAUCCGAAUGUAAAUGAAACAGAACAAGAGCAACAACCAUUGAGACGUGUGUUUUGUCUUAUUUACCAGCUAGAAUGAAGUAAGGGCGUCUUCGAUAGCCUAAGAUGGGGAUUACAUCAGUGAGGAGGCCCCAAAUAGGCUUGACAAGCCAAGGGAUUGAGAUGAGGCCUUGAUAAAUCUGGGACUCAGAAGGCUGCACCUUUUGAACAUCCUUCAUAUAAUACUCAGUUCCAACCCGAGAGAAAGCUCCUCCAAACCCUUGGCUGAUCCCAUAAACGAUCAAAACCCCAUAGACAAAGCUCCAGUGGGUCUCCUUAGCAAGCAUUUUAAACCAGUUCAGCGGAGUCCACAAGCAAUCACACCAACAACAAGAUCCCUUUACCUCCAUCACCUCACCACCACAUGCUUCCUCAUUCUCAUCCUCUACCAUACUUGAAAACUUUCUGUGCCUCUCCCAAAGUUGACUUUGAGGCAAUGAAACAAACACCUAGUCUACAACUCAAAUGUUGCCCAGAAAUGGGGCACCCUUGAAUCUUCCUAGAACAAGAUCGUUCAAUCUUUUAAGCAAAGAACUGAACUUUCCUCCAAUUGGGGCAGACAGAGACUUUGAUAGAUAACAUUCCAAGAUACCAAGAAAGUAAUAACGCUGUUCUGAAAGAUCAGAGAUUCCAAAUAUUUGGGAGCAGCCUGCCCUAUGUGUCUCCCUUCCAGGAAUACAAAACAACAAAAAGAUAAGAGAGAAGUUUAUCUGAUUCUAUCUUCAACAAGCAAGAGACUUGUUUCUCUUCCUUUCUUUCUCUCAAUGUGAGAGAUCCCCAAGGUGAAGAAGAUUUGUCAAUAGUUGACCAAUGAGAGGUGCGAGGUUGAGUAAUGAAAAAUCUUGUUCCCAAAGCUAUAUCUGCAGCUGCUGCUACUCCUUCUUUGUCACAGGCUGGCUGAUGAUUUCGACCAAUUUUGAGGGGCGGAUGCGGAUACCAUGCGAGGAGCUUCAGUAAGCUGCAUUACCCAAAAUGUGUGUUUCCAUGUUCAUCAUUCAGGAAUGGAUUCAAUCUGGUCAAUGGGUUAGUUGAGUUGGUCAAUUAGCUCAUUAGCUGGAACGGAGACAUUCCUGGACCGCUGAUAUUACCAUCCCGACACGUGGAAAAGAUCUGAUGGACUACCGAUAAAUUUGUUUGAUUUGGGCUCCCUCGGUUCAUUAUUCUGUCUUGUUUUGGUUAAUUGUUUUGUUGUAUUUUUCUAUAUAAAAAACAAACAAGUCUAAGUAGAAAAUGUAAUAAGGAGUCAGUUUGGUAUGGGGAAUGAAAAUGGAGGAAAUGUGGAAAUUGGGAAUUGAGGAUCAGAGAUUGUGUAAUUCCAAUUACAUUGUUUGGUAACGAGAUUUGUAAUUCAAAUGCAAUUCUCAGUUUGUUAGAAAUUUAUUGUGCAAUGACCAUGAUGUCCUUAUUUGAAAUCCAAUUUCAAGACUCGUCAUCUUCUAGUUAGCAAAAAUUCGUUUAAUACUCGUAUAAUACACAUAUACAUACUAUAUGCGUUUAGAACUUCCGUUCUCGUACUAUUGUAGAGCCGUUUAAUUUUAAAAUUUUAAUAUUUUCUAAUUGUUGCCAAAAUUUUAAACGUAUUGCUAUGUUGAAACAAUGUAUGAAACUAUGAACGUAUUAAUAUUGUACCAUACUCAUACCAUAUCUUACUAAAUAUAAAUGAGAAUAAAUCCGACACCUACCACUCCUUUUAUUUAUUAGGGAAGAAGAAUUAAUAUUUGUACAUAUCUACAACCAUAUAUUAUAAUAUGUCAUGGCUAAUCAUAUAGUUUUUCCAAAUAUGCAUUACAUAAUUGCAAUAAUAUAUUACAUGCUUUGGCUAAUCAAACCAAUAUCUCACUUUUAUUCCCCACCUCAACUGUUAUAGUCGUUAUAGCCGUAAAGGAAGUUGGGGGUAAUAAUGACAAUAUAUAUCCAUUGUUUACGAAAACUCAGAGUUUUGAAGAAAACAUCCUCAACACCAUGUAUUUGAAAAAGGCACAUUUGAGAGGAAAUGUGGGGCAGAGGAAAAGUGUUUUCGUAAAACACUGGCCAAUUAAAACUAAACAAACAAGUGUUUGUUUGUUACUCUGAGUUUUGACAAAAUCCUCAUAAUUUCCUCUAUACCAAACGAGGCCUAAAUAGAUAAAUAAAAUGAUAGGAUGUGAUUCUUUAACUUGGUAGCAGGUUGUUGAACUCUAGUGUGUAAUUUCGUUUUUUGUAUGCAAGCUCAAGCCAACAACUAACAUAGCCGUCAAUAUGAGAAGGAUGAAGUAAUUGUAGUUAUUAUUAGUUGUUGUUAUAUACCGUUUGUCUUUUAUUUUUUAUGAUUUGUAUUUUAGUAUAAAUGAAUCAAUAUAUUUUGUAUAAUGGAGGAAUUAAAAAUGGACGAAUCUAGACCAUAUAGGAUCUUCGAUUUCAAGGAAAAUUUUCAAUUGUCUGACUUUUUUAAACUCAUUCUGAAUUUAAAAUCAUGUUUGGGAUCUGGUCUUUCACCAUCCUAUUUUGUUAUUAAUUCUUCACAAAAUAAAACUAGACUACACCAACUAAAAAUGAAUUGAUAAAAAAUUGUUAACUUUGAAUUACACGUAGGGUUGGCAUUCGGGUACGACGGGUCCGGAUUCCUGUCACCCGAUCCCCGCCCAGCUACCCAUUCGAGUUUCUGAAAGUCCGGUCCCAAAGCCCAUACGGGCGCUACUUAGAACCCAGGCCCGGCCCGGCCGGAUCUUGGAGUCGAAGGCAUUCGAGUAAGAUGUUAGCACUCCUUUCAGCCAUAUGAGGAGCAGGAACAUAAACAAACCUAGUAAAACCAGCUGAAACCAAUUAAAACCCUAAAUCAAACAAAUAGAAAAUGAAAACAAUUACAGACCUGAACAAAUAGCUAUGAAGAGCCCAGUUGUUAUCGAUGUAAUGACCGGUAACAUCCAUGUAGCCGUUCUUUUGGUUAGAAGCUGACCAAAUGUCUAUAGUGAUAACCACCUUUCCCAAAUUAUGAUCAAUGAUAUGUUGAAUCUUCAUCUUUUCAUGCUCAUAUAGUUUCAGGAUCUCCUUCUUCAUGAUAUUCCGACAGGGUACGUGAAACAGAGGUUAUAGGCUGGUUACAAACCUUUUGAAGUAGAGUAGAUACUCAUGCAUCACAAUCGCCCUGCCAGUUGCUGCCUUGAAACUUCACUACUAAAACUGAUAGGAGACACCUCUUUUUUCCCUUUCACAUUUCAGUUAGCUCCAAACAUCUCCUGUAUGCAGGUGGAUGAAUGGUUCUUAAGGUGCGAAGAACCAUUGUUGGAAUGACCAACAAGGUAUUUCUUGCAACGCUUGCACUGAGCUUUCACUUCUCGUUUGUACCAGACCUUCACGAAAUCAACCAUAUGCCGCUUGUUUGUCUGCCAGGAACCAAUUUACCAUUAGCUCCAGGACCAACAGUAGGGCCAUUAUCAGCAACUCAAUUAUUAGCAGUUUCAACUUUUUGUUGGGGUGGAACUUGAUCUCCUUCUUUCGGUACAACAUUCAUAGCUUCCCCGUCCAUUCUACAACAACAAUCAUGAAUCAACGAAUAAGAAAACAUAAACAACAACAAUCAAUGAAAACAGAGCUACAAAAGUUUACCUUGUCAGUCGAAUAAGAGCCUAGGAUCUUCUGGUUAACAAUGAGCAAGCUGGAAGUGUAAUUCAAAAGAAUCAGAUAUUAGUAAUCCUAGAGAAAAUUAACAAAUUAUAAUCGGAACCCUAAAUUUUUAUGAUAGUGCGAUACGUACCAAAAGAUAGAUGAAAAGAUGAAGAUUGAGGAUUUGAAUCCACAUGCUUGUUCAUCGCCCCUUUUGAAGACUACAACAGUCGAUCUGAAUGUCAUUUUGAAAGUUGGAAUAGCAAAUUGAAAGCAGAAGUGCAGCUGUGCAGGUAGGAGUGAUUGAAGAUUGGAAUCGUUAGCUGCUAAAGGGGAUGGAAGAGUGGAAUUGUCGAUUCUGAAAAAUGGAAUGGAGAGCCUAUCUGGGAAUAGGAAAUUGGAGUGGAGAACUUCUCGAUUCUCGAUCAACAUCCUAAUUCUGAACCCUACAAUUACUACGGUCGGGUGUCCGGGGUGGAUAUGGGCUUCCCGAAACCCUACCCGGCCCCGAGCCUUCCGGGUACUGGAUCCACUCAAACCCGAAAACCAACCCGGCCAAACUGAGCUGGAUCCGGGCGGGUACCCCGGAUUUCCGGUUCCAAACGCCGACUCUAAUUACACGGUUAUUUUGAUAAAUCAUUGUCAAUGUCAUCAUAGAAGAACAAAAGGCAGUCGGUUCAGGUCCAACUCGGACUUUUUUCCCACCCGAGUUGACAGAGGUGGCGGCUCUUUGUUUACCGAGUUAUCAACAACGCACCGAACUCAACAAAUUAUGUUCGGUUGGGCUUUUAAUUAAUGAUUGGGCGUUUAUCGACAGCGAAGGCCCAGAUGGUCACUGGCGUUUCGGCCCAGAUGGUCAGUUUAGCAGAAUAAACGAGCAGUUGACAGCUGGAUACGAAACACGUGUUUUAACAAACAGGCCGUUGCGAAACGCGUUUUAUUCAGACCGUUGCCCCGAGCCUAGUUUCCAACAGGAAGAAGGAAACCUCGGAAAGGAAUUCUUACAAACAAUGUGAUGGUUUAGAUUAGGGCAACAAUCUGAUUUCACAGUUCAUACCAAAACCUAAUAAAUAAGAUAAAGCGACUCACGGCUCCUUCAAUUCCUAAUUUCAUCAUAUUCUCAGAUCAAUUACUUCAAUUACUCUCUCACUCUGUUUCUUCUUCUUCUUCUUCUUCUUCUUCUUCUUCACUCUGACAAUGACGGCUGUGGGGUGGAAACGUGGAGAUCUUCUGGGAAAGGGUGCUUUUGGAGAAGUAUUCGUUGCUAUACCCAACGACUCGACUCUUCCGCUCAUGGCAGUGAAAUCGGCGCCGGCGAAUGAAGCUUCCUCCCUCGUCUCGGAGUUCGACAUUCUUUCUAAGUUCCGAAACGUUCCGGGGAUAAUCCAGUGCCUCGGCGAAGACGUCUCCGAUGACGGAUUACCAAGCGGCGAGAUGACUUACAAUCUGUUUCUGGAGUACGCCGCCGAAGGGUCUCUCUCCGACAUAAUCGACUACUACGGCGCUACAGGAAUCCCGGAGAAGUACGUAAAGGUCUUCACUUUAUCCCUCUUGGAAGCUCUGUUUUCCGUCCACUCUGCCGGUUACACCCACUGCGAUAUCAAGCCGGAUAACGUCCUCGUCUUUCACGACGCGGAAGACGCCGGAAUGUGCCAUGUGAAGAUCGCUGAUUUUGGGCUGGCGAUGGAGACUCCGACUGAGAGCAGCGGGAAUUUCAGGGGGACGGUGAGGUACUUGCCGCCGGAGGUCAUCGUCUCCGGGAAAGUGUCGCCGGCGAUGGACAUCUGGGCGUUAGGGUGUACGGUGGUCGAGAUGCUGACCGGGAAGCUUCCGUUCUCGAAGUUGAAGGAUAAUAAGCAAGUGAUGGGGAGAAUCGCCAACGGAGGUCAGCCGGAGAUUCCUGACUGGCUGUCGGAAGAAGGAAAAGAUUUUUUGAGCAAGUGUUUUGUGAGGGGCUCAGCUUUCCGAUUGCCAGCGCAUAAGUUGCUCUCGCAUCCUUUCGCAACCGGUCGGAGUUUGGAGAAGCGGCAGAGAACAAUGCCUCAAGUGCAGCAGCAGUUGCCGAAGAAGCAGGAAUUGCAUCAGAUUUUUGAAAGAGCCUUGGCUGUUCUGCGAUGUUAGAUUUGGAUUUUUUUUUUAGAUCGGAUAGUCUGUCUGAUGAUUCUUUUGUUCUUGUUAGUGACUUCCAAAUGAGGAAGAAACUCAAGCUGACUGUAUAUUCUUUUUGUUGGUAAUGAACAAAAAUAGAUUCUUCCUUUUCCACUGAUUUUCCAGAACAGAUUCCCUCUUAAUGAUUCAUAGAAUCUUACUAUGCACAAGUCACUGUCUGUAAACUACAUUGGUUAAAAAACCUUUCACAACAAAUUUGGCCAACCAGGCUUAUCGCAAUAGCCUGCAAAAUCCACUGUUCUGGGACUUUUUCUCCACGAGUUAACUGGAAGAAAUUGACAAGUUUAGAAUAGGUUACAAGUCUCAACCAAUCAACCAGCCUCACUUAUGUCAAAAUUUGAAGGAUGGUGGCCUAGGGAAAACAAAGAGAAGAUGUGGGAGUUUUUAAGUUGCAGCACAGGAUAAGUGAGGGACAUAACUCCGCUGCCUAACCAAUUCAUGCAUAUCGUUGACAAUCUUCACAACUGCAUCUGGUCUAGCCAACUUGAGAGCAUUCUGGGACAUCACCUUAAGUUCCUCUUUCUUUGGACCAAACCAUUGAGCAACUAUGCUUGCUAUUUCUUUGGGCGAUUUUGAGAACUUCCCGCAUCCAUUCUGCACCACGUACGGUACAUUACCUACUUCCUGCAUUUGUCCACAACUCCCAAAUCAAGCAUCGGAAUACCAAAUCGAUGUGAAAGUUGAUUAGUAGCUGGCUUACUUGUCCUGCAAUGAAAUCAUUCAAAAUAAUCGGAAGGCCGCGUAUCAUCGCUUCUGCAAUUGUCCCCGGGCCAGCCUAUAGCAGAGAACUCGUGGUUAAACCUGAAAAGUUCCAUAUCAAUUUAUCGUAUCAACAAGUGUAAGCAACACAUACCUUGGUUAUGAUGCAAUCACAUGCACCCAUGCAUUCUUCCAUUUUAGUGACAAAACCCUUCACCUGUACAACGUGAAAUUGUGUAAAGUACAAACCUUUUUUGUCUUUUUAGUGUUACACAUCAAUGAAGACACUGCGAGCUGAGCUUAGAAACACAUUCAGGUGCAAUUGACAUGAUAUACGAACAAAUUCCCUAAAUGAAACGCAUUGUUACCUGGACAGGAAUCUUCCAAUCGAUUAAUGCCAAUCUAUUAGCAAGCUUUUUAUUGCGGCCACAUAUGACGAGGACUUGGCCAGUUGGUUGUCCAAGGUCCUCGUCAUAUAAAGAAUCACCAAGUGCUCGUGCAGUUGCCUCAAUGGGUCCCAUCCCUUCUCCGCCCCCCAUCAAGAGAACAGCAGGAAGGUCUGCAUCCAUUCCCAGUUCCCUCCUUAGUUCCACCUUGAAUGUAAAAGGAACAAAUAACACACUACAUUUUAGAUAAAAAUGAGCUUUCACAAAAUCUCAUAAGAUUACCUCCAGUUUUUUCUGACUGAGAGACCACUAUAGUUAUAUACCAAUGCAAUAUGAUUCUUGUUUGACGAAAUUUUGUAUUAGGCAUGCAUGCACAUGUUCCCAUCAGUUGAAUCAAGCUUCAUUAAGUUCAAUCCGAUAGAAUUUGUGAUUUAUGAGAACGGAUAGAUUCCGGCAAGUGUUGCAUGCAAGAAUCAGCAAAGACUAAGCUCUACAGCAAAAUGAACGUAUAUAAAUCGGGAAGGGUGUCGAAACAAACACAAUAAAUUUCAAGUGUUCAUCAUCAAAGUGGCAACCUACCUUUGGUAGAACAGGUUUAACAAAGGAAGGUCGAACAGGAAGACCAAAGAUCUUAAUUUGGGCAGGCUCCAGCCCAGCUUUCAAAGCUCUCUUAGCUACAUCUGGCGAUGGACAAUAACAUCUUGUAACAAGCUUAUGGAACCUAAAACAAAUAAAAAACCAAGAAGAUAUGAAUGAAACUUGUACACAAUGUCAAAGAGUGUCAGGUCACAAAAUAUACAAGAGAAAAGGUCUAACCAUGUUGGAUGGCAAGUACUAAGAUCUGUAACUACUGUAGUAAAUACUAUCUUCCUUAGAAGACCUUUUGCCCGCAAUAUACGAAGAGGAACAUGCUGCAUCAGUGGGUGAACACUAAUGAUAAUGUCAGGCUUGUACUUCAUUAACCCUUUGGCAACUUCCCUGCAGUUAAAAGGAAGAAAAUAAUCUUAUAAAUAUGGUUUAUUAUGCUAUAGAUAUAGCAUCAAAACUCCACAGAAGUUACGUAUGUAACUAGUUCUGGAAAGGGAAAUCUCAAAUCUUAAUUGAUUUAAUAAAUGAUAUGUAUUCUAACAAAAGUGGUUUAGGCUUUAGUACAAGUGCACUCAUGGAAAUGCUAAAGGAAUACACAACCAAAAGAAGUCCCCAACUCAAGCCAACCAACACCGAUUCAACCAACAAUUUAGGUUAAACCAAAGAUCUAAAAUUUCUAACACAUUUGUCGUCUGAAAGAAUAAACUCUUCAAAGCCUAAAUGGACACCGUGUACAUAAAAAAUCUUAGUUAUAUCAAGGUGAUAGCCAAGUAUCAAAGAUACACAAACGAAAGGAAUGUAACCACAAGGGAAUCAGCCCUUUUUAAUGGUUCAAAUCAGUAUGUUCAUGCUUUUAAGCUGUUUCACAAGAACAUCUUUAGCAGCAGAUUAUCUGUACAGAGGCAUUGAAAGGCUUACACGCAGAGCAACUUAGCUGAUGAAACAUCCACAAAAAAACAAUGAUUUGGACAUAAACUAUCAUAAUGAUAAUUGUCUGCAACAAAAAGAAAUUAUUCAUUUAGUUUGGCACUGAAGAAAAGGAGAUCAAGGUCUUACCGAGCUAUAAAUGUUGAAGUGGCAGCGAAAUUUGACUGAUGAAUUAGCCGUGGUGCAGUUCCAUAGUAUGUCAGUUUCCACAAUGUACCGUGUUUAACCAAAAAAUUAUAACUCCUAGGCAGUUGGUUAAACGGCCACGGUGUGUGCUCUGACCACAGAUCAGUAACGAACACCUGAAAUGCAUACUCUUAAACACAGAAAAAAGAUAAACCAGCGGUCCAUAACUGCGCGCUCAAACAGAAAUCUUUCCCCAGCUGGUAAUAGAAAGAUGUGAAAUUGGAGACAAGGACCGAAAUUCAAUUCAUCAUAAGAUAAUCUACACAAUCAAGUAAUCAGAGGCAAUUCAUUGCGUACAUCUGCAGUAACUAGCAAGCUGUAAUUCUACUUCUCCUCACUAGUUAAUCAUCAUCAGGGUCAUGGGAGAUUACCUGAUAAUCAUCACCAAAUUGUUCACUGAAGGCUUGCUUGAUAGCCUCAGCGGAAGCUCUAUGGCCACCACCAGUGUCACUCAUCAAAAUCAGAACUUUUUUGGGACCUUCAAUCUCAACACCAUUUAAAGGCAGCCCAUCAUCCGCCAAAACAUCACCACCCCCAUCGCUCAACCCGUUGCUGUUAGUAGUAGCGGAAUCCGCUGGACCAACCCGAAGAGAAGCGAAGCCGAUAGGGAUUCUAGCGCAGUGAGUCCUAAUAAACCUAUUGAACUCAUUCCAAGCCGUCCUGUAACUCGAACUGGCCCCUCCUCCCAGUCUCAAGGAAGCGGCUACCCUGCUCCUACUGCUGCUGCUGCUAAUGAUCUUCUUUCUAUCAAAGUACAAAGAAUUGGAGCGAAAAGAACAUGACCCAUUAGAAUUUGCGGCGGGGUCGAACGCAAAACGACCGAAUCGAGCUACCAAAUCGGAAACGGGGGCGGAAUCCUGAGCUACCGCCGAUGACUGCUGCAUUUCGCGAGUCUUCUAGUUUGGAUUAGCUGAUCAAAUGCAUAGUGACUGAGCCUUUAAAGGUGGCAGGAGUAAGAACAGGUGGUAAUAGCCUAUAAGCUGUUCGAGGCAGGGGUUUAGGGAGUCGGAAGUGUUUAGGAAGUAGGAAAUCCAGAAGCUUUGUUUCUGACCACAGAAAAUUGAAUUUUGGUUUUUGGGGAUUUCUUGGAGUGGAGAGUGGAAUUAUUCUUUGGGAGUCACGACCAACCAACAAGGCUGUGCGGCGGUUCUUUGCGUUGGCUUUGUUUAAGAAUGAAGAUACUGCUGGGCUCCAUCCCCAAUUCUUGGCCACUCCACUGGUAAGUUUCGUUGUAUUGGUUUUGAUUUUUCAAGCACGGAUUGGAAACGUAUUAUCGGAUUCGGAUAUUCCACAUGGCCUACUGUCCCAAUUCAAGGUCUUCUAUGGUCACAUCAUAUACUGGAAGGUAUAUCCCCACCCAAAAAAAGACAGUAUUGGUUUGAUUUAUUGUCUUUGAUUCUUUGAAACCAAAGUAGUGAUAUCGUCGGAGUCAAUAUGAGAUCGAAAAAUGAUCUAAAAUUAUAGUCGUAGAAUCGAAUUGUAAAAUCGUAAAAUUUUAUGACUCUUAAAUAAUGGAGCGGCUAAACAUUGCCCUGGUUUUUGAAAAAAAUCGUCUUAUAAUUCAAAUCUUUCACGUGUAAUUACGCGAAUGCCCUUGAUCGAGUUAUAACCACCAAUACACGACCACCACCGCCGAUACACCCCACCACCACCACAGAUACACCCCAUCACCACCGCUGUCGUCGAGUUUCAAAUAUGCCACCGGCCACCGCCGCCGCCAAACCCCACCAACACUACUUUCGUACAAAGCUCACCUCCCCUCUUCAUCCCCAUCGUCGUCGGAGAACAGCCGGACCGUCACCGACGAGCCGUUGGACCGCCCCUACCGAUCGUCGUUGUACCACCACCACCAUAAACCAGCAGUCGGACUUGGGCGACUGGUUCUCAAACCAGCAAUCCGAUUUAGGCGGCUGGUUUUUAAACCAAUAGUCCGAUUUGGACGGCCGAUUCUCAAACUAGCAGUCCGAUUUGGGCUGCCGGUUCUCAAACUAGCAGUCCGAUUUAGAUGGCUGGGCCAAUUUUUUUUUCAUUUUAAGUAAUAAUUAUAUGAUUAAUUUAAUUAAUUGAUUAUAAUUUAUUUGAUUGCGGUAAAUACUAGUUAUGAAUAGUUACAUUAUACUUAGUUUUUUUAGAUUAGUUGUAUAUGUAAUAAUUAUGUGAUUAAUUUAAUUAAUAGAUUAUUUCUAUUAUUAGUAUCUAAUUAAUUAUAUGACUAGGUUAAGUUUUGUAAUUAAUUUUAUGAUUUUUAUUAUUCAUACAUUUUCCAUUUUCACAUACUAAUAUAAUUUUAUCCAUUAUUUUAGUUGUCAAACAUUUUAGUGAACUGUAUUUGGUGAACGAAUAAGUUGAACAUAUUAGAUCAACUGAUAAAUUUUGUUAUACUAUGUGCAGAAAAUUCUUGUCGAUAGUGAUGAAAAUGUUGGAGUAGACGGUGAUGACGAGGAAGGGGAAAUUGUAUUUGCACUCAAUGAUUCCUGGUACUAACUAGUUCUAGUGGCAAACCCUAAAUCCUAAAUCAUAAACCCAGACCCUAAACGCCAAACCAUAAAUCCUAAAUUCUAAACCCAUAACCUUAAACCCUAAACCCUAAACUCUAAAUUCUAAACCCAUAACCUUAAACCCUAAACCCUAAACUCUAAAUUCUAAACCCAUAACCUUAAACCCUAAACCCUAAACUCUAAAUUCUAAACCCAUAACCUUAAACCCUAAACCCUAAACUCUAAAUUCUAAACCCAUAACCUUAAACCCUAAACCCUAAACUCUAAAUUCUAAACCCAUAACCUUAGGUUUAGGGUUAUGAGUUUAGGGUUAGGAUUUAUGAUUUAUUGUUUAGGGUCUAUGGUUUAGGAUUUAGAGUUUAGCUAGGCUUAGAAUUUAAGGUUUGCUACACUUGAACUAGUUUGUAUCUGGAACCAUUCGAUGCAAAUAAAAUUGAGCGAUACAAUUGAGUGUAAUCUAUAAUGCCUUCCUCGUCAUCGUGGUCUACUCUAGCAUUUUCAUCACUAACUACAAUACUUUUCUAAACAUAGUAUAACAAAAAUCUAUCGAUUGGUCUAAUAUGGUCAACUUAUUUGUUCACAANNNNNNNNNNNNNNNNNNNNNNNNNNNNNNNNNNNNNNNNNNNNNNNNNNNNNNNNNNNNNNNNNNNNNNNNNNNNNNNNNNNNNNNNNNNNNNNNNNNNNNNNNNNNNNNNNNNNNNNNNNNNNNNNNNNNNNNNNNNNNNNNNNNNNNNNNNNNNNNNNNNNNNNNNGUUGUAUAAAAAAAUCAAUAAAUAACUAAAAUAAUUUAUUAGUUAUCAACUAAAUGUAUAAGUUAAUUAGAUAAUGAUAUUACUAUAGAUGAUAAUUGUUUAUGUUCUUUUGUUUAGAGAUCAAUGUUUGAAUCCCACAAACAACAGUUUUUAAAAUAAAAUUCUGUAAACCGUCCAAAAUACAUAAAAUAGCUAAAUAUUAAUUAAAUUCAUUAUUCAAACUCAAAUUAAACACGAUAAUCAACCUGAGCGAUUUGUAUUUUUAUCAACACAUCAUCUCCACAAAUUUUUUAUUUUAAUAAAUCUACCAUUUCAAAUACAAAUAGAGAAUAACAACUUGCACUACAUCAAGUGAAACCAAUUCAUAAGUCUUAUGAAAGAGUUAAUAAAGUUGUCACUUAUUUAUCACCAAUAGACGUGAUUUUAAAUCGUGUUAGGCUUCGAUUUUUGUAUACCUGGUCACCCCAUCAAUUUGAGCGGAUGUUUAUGUAUUGUAUAUUGUGUAUAUAGUGCCCCAACUCGGUUCGGUGGUGUUGUGGUUAGCCGAACGAGUCUUCCUCUCAUUUUCCUUUGUAUAGCUUAAUCAUGGCUUCUGUGUUGUUUAAGCUAUUCAAUUGGAACUCACAAACAAAUAUCCUAGUCGACGAUUCUCGUCGGAAACCAUGUAAAUCCAUCUUUUUUAUUUCGUUGAAUGACAUGACAUUGUGAAUUGUAAUGAACAUAGAAGGAAAUAUUGUUACGUUACAUCAAGCAAAAUAAGAUGACUGAUACGUUAGAAACAAAAGUUAAGUGGCGACACUAUCAAAUAGCUCAAAGUUAGGUGAUCGACCAUUCAUUUUACAUAAUUGGGCCAGUUUUUUUAUUCCAUUCGGGUCUCGGGAGAAGAAGAAAGCCAGCAAAUAAUCCCAGUGAGCUCCCAUUGUUUUCUCUUUCGUCUCCGACUCUGUUUCUCUCUGACUCUCCUCCGCCACAAUGACGGCGGCCGCCAAGCACCACCGCAGCCAACUACCGUCUACCUCCAAACAACCCCGCAAUAAUCCCAACCCCAGCACCGGCGCCGUCGCUCUUCCCGCACCUCCUCAAACCACAAACCCCAACCCUACCUCCUCUGCCACCGCCGCCGUCACCUCGCCGAUCACUCUCUUCGAUAGAAACCACCCACUCUCCCAUGCCACUCUCCUCACCCGGCACGAAUUGCUGAAGCGUAGGUCUCACCAUCUGAAACAGCUCCUGCAAUGCUACAAGGACCACUACUGGGCUCUGAUGGAGGAGGUCAAGGUCCAGCACCGAGAGUACUACUGGAAGUACGGCGUCAGUCCUAUCAAAGACGAUCGGAAGCAGCAGGAUCCGGGGGAGAACGGCAACAUUGCGGAGGUUAUGGACGAGAGUACCAAUUUCGGGAGUGGCGUCGGAGGCAAUUUGCCUUGGAACUACAAUAAUAAUAGUAAUUCGAGCAAAGGGGAAAUUGAAUUGAAGAAUAGUCAGAGCAGUAGGUGUGAGGCAAAUGGUUGUAAUUUGAAGGCCAUGGCUUUGAGUAGCUACUGUCACCCUCAUAUACUCUUCGAUACCAAGCAGAAGCUCUACAAGGCCUGCACAUUUGUCAUCAGGAGGUUUGCCAUAUAUUACUUUCUGUUCUUUUUCUUGGUAUUUUCUGGUCUGCUCUUUUAGUUAUGUUCUUGUUGCUUGUGUUCAAAGCGAGGUUCUUGUUGAGGACUGUUUGUCUGUUUGUACCCACGUGAAUUGUUUUGAUGCUGAAUUGACAAGCAUCCUUUGGAUUGGAUUAAGCUUUGCAUAUGACUGAUGAUUUGCUAGGUGAACUGUUUGAUUAGUUGAUAGCGUUUUUUGUAUUAGGUAUUCUCCAAUUCAGUCAUGGUAUGGUACUAGUUCAUGCAUCUACUAUGCUUUUGACUGGUUUUGUGAAUCCACUUGGCUGUACUUAUAUCGGAACUUUGUGGACCUUGUCUCUUUCCAACAGAGCUGUUCAGUGAGAUUUUGAACUAAUUUGUUGUUGUCAUUCUCUGUCUCCCCUUGUUUAUCACGAUCUAUAUUACUUGUAUAACAAUUAGCAUGGAAUACAAACUUAAGUUCUGAUAGUCUUUAGAUAUGGACUUUAUAUAGGGAAAAAUAGAUGCAUAUGUGUGUUGGAUAUGCUUGGCGAAUGCUUGAGUCAGUGAUUGCCAUAGUGUCAAGGUGUCAAGUGGUCAUCUACUUGCGAAGAUAAAUCUGUGUCAAGCAGCAAUCUUCUGGGAAUGAUAAAUCUAUCUGAUAGCAAGAAUGUAUUAACCAGGAGCAACUAACUUCGAAGCCUCAGAGUAUUUUUCAUGUUUACAGUUUCUUAACUUAUGUGUAUGUGAAGAUCUGUCAUGUUUACCGUUUCUUAACUUAUGUCUAUGUAAAAAUAUUGGUAAGAGCUCGAAUUGGACAAAGAUGCAAAUGAUUUAUUAAUCAUUAGUGGAAGCCUUAAACUACUAACAUAGAUGUUGAUGGAUAUUUCAUACAGCUAGCUCCUGCUGGAAUCUGUGUAUAAUAAACUAUAGUUUAACCCCUGGAUGUCUAUAUUUACCUUACGCCUUGAAUCUUGCUUUACAAGUUUUCCAGCCUUGGACAAAAAAUAGAUGACUACAUAAUCUGGAUGUGUAACUAACUUAAUCAUUAAAGAAAAUUAAGAGAUAUCCAAUCGAGUUUGGUUAGAGUGAGAAGUAGUCGGUUCAGUCGUCUUAUUGUUAUGGACCGGUAGAGUUCUCUGCUGCAACUUUUGUGUCUAGCAUUAGGAUUCAUGUGUUGUGGCCUCUGGGUACUUGUUUGAAUUAAAACAAUUCAGUUUUUGUUAUGAAUCAUUGGUAGUUGUCUGGUUCACAUCUUGGGGUCUACCAUUAGUUUAUUUUACCAUUUUAUUUGAAAACCUUGUCAUUAGUGAAAAUAUUUUGUGCAGCACUAACUGAAUUUAUCUUUCUACCCUCAGUGCUUCGGCAGGACCAAUAACCUGUGGGAAGCCUAUACUGCAAACAACCAUUCCUUGUCUGUGUACCGCCCACUUCCAGAAGGCUCAGCAGAAUGUGACUCGUGCAUUGAAGAAAGCCGGUCUUAACGUUGCUGCAUCAAGUAAACUUGCUCCUAACUUUCAUGUCAUAGUUGCAGAAUAUGUGAACCAAAUUCAGGCCAAAAGAAGAGCUGCAAAAAGAUCAAAUUGAACAAAGACAGGUGAUAAGGAAGUCAAAGGUGCGGGUGGUAACUGCUCAGUGGUCAAAUCUUGAGUUACUAAAGUGACAAGUUCGUUCAGAGUAUAUAAGACCAACAAGGGUGAGAUCAUUUUUUCAAGUUUUGUAGAUGGCAUUACUCUUUAUAAUCUAUAGGAUCUUGGUUCGUCCGCAGAUGCUGAAUUCUUAUUGACACACCUUCCAGAAGGAAAAGUUUAUUACUUGGGCCUUCUAUUACUUAGGCAUCUGGUAUGCACUGUUAUCACACCCCUUCCUACUGUUGCAAAAACCUGCAUUUUGAGUUAAUUCUUUGGCAUUCAAUGGUAAAAAGUUGAUCUUGUUACUUACGCAUUAUUCCGCACUAUCAAGAUUGGAACUACUAGUUAAACACAACCAUUUGAAGAGCAUGCCAUUGUCUGAACCUAGAAAUAUUUUCGCUAGCUGGGUAGUCCUGAUGUCUCCAUUAAACUGACUAGUCUCUCCGAAAUGCUUUCGUUUUGCUCUCGAGUUUGACAUCUAAAACAUUGGCAUUUUGCAGGAAGAAGCCAGGUUAUGCCGAUCUCGUGGCAUGCAUGUGGUCUCUACUAACAGAAGUACAAAGUUUAGGAAGCGCAAAUAACAGUAGUUGAAUAGGGAGAAUGAACAAAAAAAUUUCCACCAGGGGCUCUUUCUGUAAAGAUCUCAUCCUGCUGAAAUUGGAUUGGAUCAUCCAAAGCAGUUUGAAGUGAUCUCAUUGUGCUGUUCAUUUUUCUUUCUAAUCAGGACACUUGUUAGACUCAUUGAUUGUUGUCAAUUUACUCAGAAGAAUCUCUUCUUGUAUAGACACAAGACCAAUUUCAAAGUCAUGUGAGUAAAUCGUUGGCUCAUGACCGAGUUCUGACCUUCAUCUACUGUUGCAAAUGCCGAGUUAAAUCCGAGAGGAUAUGUUGCGUGCGGUUUAUUUCAGCUUUUUUCUUCUCUCCAUAGGUAUCAAUUUUCGAUACACAAAUAAGAUAACAAAAUAUCAAGGUGUUACAAGCUAAUGCAAUACUGUAAGUCUAAGAAUUUAUCUACACAAUUAGGAAACCUAAGAGCUCUCGCGCCACCGGAUGGGCAACCAUAUUUUCUUGAUGAGAAAUGUGAGAAAGAGAGACGAAAGAGAGAGAAUGAAACAAGCUUCGACACUCUUGAAGUAGAGUCCCCAUCCGAAUAUCCGGAACCACUAAUAGCAAGAGGCGGGCUACCUCCAAGCGGCCGGUAUCAAUAGCAUCACAGCCAAGGCGUAGAAAGUGUAUCCAAAUCUCAGAUUCUGUUGCAAGGCUCCAAUGUCAUUUGUUUUUUUUCACUGACCGAAACAGUAUUAGAGGUUUACACUACAAGUUAUACUAACAGGAUAACGAAGAGCCUCUUUUGCCACAUAACGGGAGACGUACACAAUUAUUUUGUCGGCGUCUAUAUUGUAUAAAAACAUAGGUAAAAGACGUGAGGAGGGUGUGCUACUCGGAUAGAAGCAACCUUGCCCUGAUAUCCAAAGUUGUUGACGUAAGGAGGCGAGCGACUUCAGCGCAAUCUGUGAAGAAAGAUAUUUGUCGAAGUUGCCAACACAAAGCUGCAACAAUGGCCCGUCGAAUGGCCAUUAACUCCAAAGUCGAUGUGAGGAAUAACCUGUCCGGAGGCGGCAAGAGCAUCAUCAUCAUCAGUUUCAUCCUUCAGAACAAGACUGAUUGCGCCAUGAUUUGAAAGACGAACAGCUGCAUCCUCGGAAAUUCGCCAAGAGUGAUGGAAAGAGGUGGCGACAUCGUGGAUCAAUAGCAUAGAGCAACAACGUUGUGCAAAAUGGAACUGGAAGUAAUGGAUUGCUAGUAUUGGUCAAUGUUGUCACACACAUCUCUAGAUCUGUAAACUAAAACCGAUCGAGAAAAAAAAAAGAUUUACAGAUCCUAAAAACCCUUUGUGCAAAUACAAAUACAAACCGUUAAAUCUGUAAACUAAAUUUGGUACUUUAACUCACCAAAAUCUAAAUAUUUUAAUAUAUUGAUGUCAAAUUUAGCACUCUAAACACUUUAACCCUCCCAACCGUUGAAGAAGAUCUCAUGUGGAAUUUGGGUAAAAAAAUAAUUAUGCUGGCGUGAAGUAAGUUUGUGCCUUAACUUUGCUACCGGAAAAUGUUGAUACGUUUUCAUUUUUUGAGGAGCAACCGAGCAACGUCGACACUUGGGUCUCCCAUCAAUCUCCAUGCGGCGGUGCAUGCAUUGGUGAUUCCAACCUAUAUAUACCCUAACACAUCAAACACCACUCUACUUGUCUCAGUUAAGAAUACUAAACCCAAGAAACAAAAUGAAAAGCAUGAUGAGGAUUAACGUCCCGGUGGUUGUUGCCGCCGGCGUCCUCAUCACCAUGUUUGCUACUGCCGCCGUGAUGACGACCGACGCCACCAGAGAUGUCACUACAGCUACUACUCAUUAUCACAUCCAAGAGGAGCCAGAGCCCCCGCCCGGUCGCUCCACGUCUGACAACCCCGACAAGAGUACUAACCAUUAUCACAUCCAAGAGGAGCCAGAGCCGCCGCCCGGUGGGUCCACCUCCGACGAACCCGACAUGGGUACUAACCAUUAUCAUAUCCAAGAGGAGCCGGAGCCGCCGCCGGGUGGGUCCACGUCUGACAACCGAGGUUUGACUACCGGUGAGGGAAAAAGUAUCCAUGAUGUUCUACGUGAGCCCGAGCCACCGAAACCUAGCCCGGCGGUUGGUGUUAAUGUAUAACCCAGAGAUGCAUGGGUAGUUGGUUGGGGACAUCUAUCCGACUAUAUAUCCCUUGGUCGGAAUAAACUUUUAAUAAGUCGGCUUGUCCUUUUCCAUUUCCCAUAAUAAAAAUGAUCAAAAAUAAACUUAACAAUUAAUAUAUACCAGAGUUUUGGUAUGUGGUGUGAUUGAAUUUAAAUUUUGAAUAUAUAUAUAUGAGAUGUGUUUGGAUUUAAAUUUGAUAAUUACAUCAAAGAUAGCUGAGCUUGUCAACGUUCACUACAACAAAAAUUAAUUUUGGAGGUAGUGAUUAUUUGUUUUUAAAUGAUAUUUAAUAGUCUUUAUAACUUUAUAAAAAAAUAUAUUUUAUGGGUAUUUAAUGUCCCUAUCGCAAAAUGUCUCUUAAACAGUUAUUUUAUUUAUUGCUUAUUGCUAUUUGAAAUANNNNNNNNNNNNNNNNNNNNNNNNNNNNNNNNNNNNNNNNNNNNNNNNAAAUUUUAUUUUUGCGAGAUGAAUACUCUUUUGGUCAUAUAUUAAUAAAAUUAUUAUAAUAAAAAACCCAUCUAAAUUACACGAAAUAACAAAAAAAAUAUAAUACAAGAUUUAAACACAACAAAAAUAACAAAAUAACUAUUUUAAACUGAUCUUCAUCGUGAAUAGUUCUAAUCUCCAGUUCUUCAAAAACGUGAUCUCAUAUGUGUUCUUGAUUAACCUGUUAUGUUCAUCAAAUUCAAAUUUCAAUUAACAUCCAAUUAUUAUAAACCAAUAUAAUCCCAAUCGCCUUCUAUCUCUUAAAAAUUAAACCAAGUUGUUCCAACAAAUAUAGCUUCUGGGGACGGGAAAAAGGAGAACAUGGGUAGCUUGUGGAUAAAGGAGAAAAGGAAAAGCUCACAGACCAGAGCAUAAAAAACCAAAACCAACUAACUGGCUUUUCCAGCCGGAGACCAGAGCAGCUGGGCCUACUGGUAUCAUCGUUGGUCAACUCUAUUGAACUUUGGAGUCGUUAACCCUAUCAAAAAUUGAAACUUGAGCCUAUUAGUACUUCUAUAAAAAAAUCUCACGGUCCAUUGACGGACGCCCAUUAAAACCUACCAACACUAUUACACUUUAUACAUUUAUGACAUCUCCCUCAUACUUCUUUGUAUCCAAGCUCGUGUUCAUCUUCUUUAGCUAACCUUUAGUUUAUCCCACACCAAAACAUUAACUUGCACUCUCAUAUACGAGGUUAAUACUAAUAGUUUUACAAGAAGACCCACCCACAGAGCACAUCAUCCCAUCCCGCCUUCAACAACCGAAUCAAUAUUUUCCUACUAGAUUGUACGGGGCAGAACAAUAACAAAUUAAGUAAUUGAUCUACAUAUACCAUUAGUCUGUAAAUAUGAAUUGAAGAUUAUAGUCAUGCGAUGUAAAUGUAUCAAUUUAAAUUGGCAUUCUCUUUUACAAUGUGAUCGAAAGAGGCUCCACGAGCAAGAAUGGAAUGGAGAUAAAAUAAUUGUCAACGGUUUUGUUCUCGAACAGAUAAAAUUUCGGCUCCUCUUUCCUAAAAACUUUUUACAUUCUUUUUGCGACUAGCUUUUAUAAUGAAAAAAGUACUAGGUAAGUUAUGUGGAUAUAAAAAUGACGAUUUUGAUAAGAAUUUAAAAAGGAAAUAUUCUGAGAUAUAGAAAGGGAAAUACAAAAUUAAAAAGAAUGAUAAUAACAUAAACUAAAUUUUCUAAAAAUUCUUUUCCCAUUAAUUAUCCAAUCACCCAAAAGGAAAAAAAAUUUAUAAAAAUUAUCUACUUAGAUUAAUUUACCAUAAAAUACAUAAUUUCUAUAUUGGUCGGUGGAUGAAAAUUUGGAAACAAAAACUACCAUAUAUGAAAUUCAAAUACCAAAUCAUUAGCUAAGAUAAUAUUUAAUGAGAAGUUGUUAAUUGAAAAGGCUGGCGUAGAAUACUUUUGUGCAUUAACUUAAUUAAUGAAUAACUUUGGUAAGUUUCAUUUUUCAACUACCUACUUGGUAGGUAGGAUCUCCCUGGAUUGGUUAUUUCAAAUUAUAUAUACCCCCAACUAUCACAUAACCACAAUCAUAUCUGCCUCAAUUGUACCAACAAAGAAUAUAGAGAUAAGGAAGAAUACAAAUAUCAAAAGUAUGAAGAUUAACGUUGCAAUACUCGUUCUCAUCUUGUUUGUUACAGCUGCAGAGAUGACGGAUGCCAUUAGAGAUGUCGUCCCAAUGGAGCCAGAGCCACCAGGUGCGCAACCUACCAACGCUGGCAUGAAUACAACUGUUCACCAUGGUAUUCAAGGUGAGGAACCAUCACCAGGGAUAGCUGAGGCCGACAACGUUGAUCACUACAAUGUUCAAGGUGAGGAACCGUCACCAGGGAUAGCAGAGCUUAAUAACAUUGAUCACCACAAUAUUCAAGGUGAGGAACCGUCAUCAGGGAUAGCGGAGCUUAACAACGUUGAACACCACAAUGUUCAAGGCGAGGAACCAUCCCCAGGGAUAGCCGAGCCUGUCAAUGUUGAUCACUACAUUGUUCAAGGUGAGGAACCAUCAUCAGGGAUAGCCGAGCUUGACAACUCUAUUCACCACAGUUUUCAAGGCGAGGAACCGUCACCAAGGAUAGCUUAAGGUCGAACUAGCCGUCACACCACAACUCAUCAUCAUAUUGUUGUAGUGUAGAUCGAGCCACCGAAACCUAAAAAAUCAGGUAAGUUAUGUGGAUAUAAAAAUGACGAUGUUGAUAAGAAUUUAAAAAGGAAAUAUUCUGAGAUAUAGAAAGGGAAAUACAAAAUUAAAAAGAAUGAUAAUAACAUAAACUAAAUUUUCUAAAAAUUCUUUUCCCAUUAAUUAUCCAAUCACCCAAAAGGAAAAAAAAUUUAUAAAAAUUAUCUACUUAGAUUAAUUUACCAUAAAAUACAUAAUUUCUAUAUUGGUCGGUGGAUGAAAAUUUGGAAACAAAAACUACCAUAUAUGAAAUUCAAAUACCAAAUCAUUAGCUAAGAUAAUAUUUAAUGAGAAGUUGUUAAUUGAAAAGGCUGGCGUAGAAUACUUUUGUGCAUUAACUUAAUUAAUGAAUAACUUUGGUAAGUUUCAUUUUUCAACUACCUACUUGGUAGGUAGGAUCUCCCUGGAUUGGUUAUUUCAAAUUAUAUAUACCCCCAACUAUCACAUAACCACAAUCAUAUCUGCCUCAAUUGUACCAACAAAGAAUAUAGAGAUAAGGAAGAAUACAAAUAUCAAAAGUAUGAAGAUUAACGUUGCAAUACUCGUUCUCAUCUUGUUUGUUACAGCUGCAGAGAUGACGGAUGCCAUUAGAGAUGUCGUCCCAAUGGAGCCAGAGCCACCAGGUGCGCAACCUACCAACGCUGGCAUGAAUACAACUGUUCACCAUGGUAUUCAAGGUGAGGAACCAUCACCAGGGAUAGCUGAGGCCGACAACGUUGAUCACUACAAUGUUCAAGGUGAGGAACCGUCACCAGGGAUAGCAGAGCUUAAUAACAUUGAUCACCACAAUAUUCAAGGUGAGGAACCGUCAUCAGGGAUAGCGGAGCUUAACAACGUUGAACACCACAAUGUUCAAGGCGAGGAACCAUCCCCAGGGAUAGCCGAGCCUGUCAAUGUUGAUCACUACAUUGUUCAAGGUGAGGAACCAUCAUCAGGGAUAGCCGAGCUUGACAACUCUAUUCACCACAGUUUUCAAGGCGAGGAACCGUCACCAAGGAUAGCUUAAGGUCGAACUAGCCGUCACACCACAACUCAUCAUCAUAUUGUUGUAGUGUAGAUCGAGCCACCGAAACCUAAAAAAUCUAUCGUUAAUUUACAAGUGUCAUGCACACAGUGAUAUGCAUUUGUCAAUUUGGUAGAAAUAAACAACAUUGGUCGGCAAAAAUUAUUGUGUUCUAUGUCGGUUAUUAUAAAAUGGUCAAUCAUAUAUUUAUUAAAAAUGACAAUGAGAUCUAAAUCUAAUAUUUUUAGUUAUGAUUAUAAUUUUACUUGUUCGUAAAAGUGGUUUAAACACUUAUAAGUGGUGGUAAAAGUUUGGGAGUCAAAAUCGGAAAUUGCUAUCCCAUAUGAAAAAAUUCUAAAUUUGUUCAAGAAAGGAAGUUUAAAUACCGAAUUUUAAAAGUGGGUUUUCGUUAUUUUAAAUGAGAUUUGAUAGUUUUGUUUUGGGAUUGGAAGAACCAAACACCAAACUCCAAUUUACAUCCAUGUCUAUCGUUUUCACUAAGAACUAUCGUCCUCAGUUCCCAACGUCAAUCUCAUCCACGAUUGGAUUAAUGUAAUUCAUGGGCCAUAACUAUCGUUUGGUUGAUAUAUGGAGUCACUGCAAUUGCUUGGUUCAUCUCUAUAUUCAUGUGGUUGUUCGGGUUUAAUCAUACAUCGUUGCCUUUUGUAUGAUUCAGGUUCAUGAACGAAAAUUCGAGUAUAGGGAAUAUGAAAUUUGGAAAUGGAUUCCCAUUCUUGUCCAAAUCUUCUACCCCUACUUAUAAACAAAGUACAUAUCCAAGUGAACAUAUAAAAGUACGAGUGUUUUAAAUCUUCCUUUUUGAAUGAUAAUUGGUUAUUACAAUUCUUUGAUAAAACCUCAAUAUAAUUAUGGUUCAAACUAAUGGCUAUAAGUUACCGCAAUAUGACCUGGGCUUUGAUACUACUAUUAGGUGCUAUUAGGCUUUCUCACCCCAAAAGUUAGCUUUAACGGCGAGGCUUUCCCUCACACUUAUAAAUAGAGCUCGGCCUCUUCCACUCUCCAAUGUGGGAUAACCCAACUACUUUCCCCCUCACACAUCGGUCUCUCAGUAGGCAUUACCCAUCUACUGACUCUGACCAGAUCAACAUAGGUCCUUCAGACCGGAUCCCGGGAGGUGUUGUCAACAUGGGCUCUGAUACCACUGUUGGGUGCUAUUCGGCCUUCUCACCCCAAAAGCUAGCUCAAAAGGUGAGGCUUUCCCUCACACUUAUAAACAACAUCCAGCCCCUUCCACUCUUCGAUGUGGGAUAACCGAACUAUAGACUCAAUAGAUCAUAAUCUAUACAGUCUAACAUUAUUACAAUAUAAUGAAAGUAAUGAAAUAUAUAAUGAAUACAUGAGAGUUACACAAGGAUAAAAUUACACAAUAACAUUCAAAUACAUAAAUGUUCAUAAUUUUCUUAUAUAUUAACUCGCACAAAAUUAAUUUUUUUAUUUCUUAACACUCAUAAUCAAACCCAAUUGAAAUUAAUAUUAUGUACGGUGGUCUGUUAAUCCAGUGCAUGUCCAUGUUUUUUAGAAGUCCUAUGCUGGGGAGCCUGCCAACACAGGCUCACACUCGGCCCUUGUUUAACAACGUUGUCCAAAGGGAGCCUGAACUCUCAGGAGCACAACCUACCAACAAGUAAUAAUGCUAGCAUGAGUACUACCAUUCACCAUCGUAUUGAAGGCGAAGUACCACCGUAGCCACCACGGCUAGUUGAAGGUUCGACUACCAGUGACAACACAACUCAUCAUCAUGUUCUAGUUCAACCUAAGCCACCAAAGCCUAGCACAUCUAUUUUUAAUGUACAUAACUACAUGAAUACGACACGUUUACGCUUCGACAGUUCCCGUUUUAAUUACUUUUUUUCAUCAAAAUUAAUUUAGUACAUAGAUUAAUUUUAGUGGUAUAUAUGAAUCAACAUAGAUAUCAAAAUAAUCAGAAUGUAUACAUAAUUAUGAUGAAAUACAAUGUAUAUCCCAUCAAACUGAAUAUCUAAUUUAUCCCUCAUUGAUCCUACCCCCAACUUUCCUUAUCCGGUCACCGGAAUUAGUUAGCAAAUUUCACAUCGAAUCAUUCGUUGCGUCAAUUUACGGUAGAAGGGGAAGUCAGAGGAAACAGGGGAAGCAGCUCCGGCGGGUCCACAUUCCCCCGCCGUGGCGUAAUCAACCGAGGAGACGGGUGCAAAUAAAACCUCUUCUCCGCUAUUGCCCUCUCCUCCUCAGUCGACGGCGACGGUGAUGUCUCGGCACUGCUCGAAAAAAACGGCGAACCCAUCAUCAGUGGCGUCACCGGGCUAGCAACGGGAGAGUAGUAAGGUGAAGAACAGGGGCUGCUGGUACGGAGACUCGCUCGGCUCAGCUUGAUUUCCAACUUCCUGACCGUCUGCCGCCGUUCUUGGAGCUUGUACGGCGACCGGCGAGGUGAAUUGAUGCUGUUGAUGAGAUUAUAAUUGGUGGGUUUGGCAGCAUGAUGAUGAUGAGUCCUUGAAGGGUGAGUCACCGGGAGCUUGGCGUCGGAGUCGGCCGCCGCUCCCCCCGAGGGCUGGGUCAGAAGGCCGCGGAGCCCGCGGCCCCGGCGGGGGGGGCUGCGGCGCGCGUCGGCUUGGACGAACAUCGUCGUUGAGACUGGAGACAUCGGCGGCAGUGAGCUGGAAUUCGCGACCACGUGGCGGCGAGUACUCAUCUCCGGAUGCAUUAUAAUUUAUAAAUGAGAUGAUUUUGAAUCUUGGAGAAAGAGGUUGUUGUUGAUGAUGAAUGUUAUUUCAGGUGGGAUGUGUUUGUAUAUAAGAGAAAGAGAGAAUGUGUGUGGGGGGAGAUUAUUCCAAUGGUUGUUGUGAUGUGCAAAUGGGGUUGGAUUUAUGGUGAACAUUCGGUCACGAUUAAUGGUUAAAAUUGAUUAAUUAAUUAAUUAAUGAAUUGAUUAAUUUAAAAUAAUUAGGUUUGGCAUCAGGUGUUUAGAGUUUAGGAGGUUGAAGGGAGUCAACCGAUUGGGGAGGCAGGCAUUUUAUUUGUGGGUUAGUGAUAGAGUACGUACGUUUGUUUAGAAGCAAACAAAUAAACAAGUGAUGGGACGAUAGAAGCCAGAAAUUAGAAUGUAGUCUUUUCUUUGUAUCAACUUGUUUGACUGAAACAAUUUAGUUAUAAUAAUAAUUAUAAUUAUAAUUAUUAGUUAUUAAUUAAUGGGAGGGAAAUGGACAUGUGUUGACAAAACGACGUAUGUUAUUAAUUAGGGUGGGGAUUGAACACAAGAAGGAAGACCAAGCAUUGUUUGACUUGGUGAGGGAUCAAUCAAUGAUUAAAGGAUUUGAAUGUUGUUUAAUUUAGCGUACGAUGAAAUGGUCAAGUUGGACUCCUAGUGUGAAGAGAUCGUUGAUAUACACAAAGCUAAUGUUCGGCACUCACAGAGAUGAUGUUCAACAAAGAUCCAUAAGCUAUAUAGCCUAUACGUAAUUUCAUGCUUGGAGGUAUCUGUGUGUGUUCGAAUUUAUUGUUAGUGAACAUAGCUAACUAUAUUAAAAAAAUUUCAAUUCUUAAAACAAACGGUUUAAAUCAUAAUAAGGUAUUUUGGUCGAGAUAAUUUAUUUUGAGUUAUUUGGGUUAAAAUAUCUCGUUUGACAUUUAACAUAAAAUCUAUGAUAUUUCAGACUGUGGUAUUUUCACAUGAGUUAUUUCAAAUACCUUAUCAAAAUAACUCGUUUGGCAACCAAAACAAAAUAUGUGACAUUUCGGGAUGUGGUAUUUGAAAUAACUCGUUUUUAAGUUGUUUCAAAUACCUCCCCACCACCUAGGUAUUUGAAAUACCUCACUAUACUGAGAAUGUGAUAUUUCUAUUACCAAGUACAACAUUGGAUAACUCAUCAACACGGAUUGUUAGAAUUCUUCUCGCUCCCCUUAGACUGGUUUGAUAAGAUCACAAUUGUUGUCACGGUGCCAACACCACCGGAUCCAAGAGUAACUCAUAAAAUCUUGUGGUACUAUGAACAUUCAAGACCAAACAGCAACCCUGCGUGGAUUAGGUCCUAGGUAGGGGAGCCCGCGGCGGAGUUAGGAUUUAGGAGUGUCGAUUGAUCGAAAAAACUUUAAAUAUUUAUAUAAUACAAAUAUGUAUUAUUAUCGAUAUGCCUCGGGUGAUUUUUUAUUUUCUAAAUAUGAAAGAAUUUGAACUCAAUUUAUGAUUUUUACUCGCUAAUAAGUUGAUUAUAAGUUCAAUUUUGAUAAAUCACUUUGUCUAAACAAAUAAAUACGUGAGCAAAACUUCAAAUAUAAUUAGCCGAGUUACGAAAUUAAAAAUUUUUCACAUAUAAUAUAAUUUGAUAUUCAUAGUGAGAAUGCGAGAGCGUUAAAACUCUUAUUGGCUUUCUUUAGUUCUAACAUGGCCAAACACCGAGUUUAAAAAAAAAAAGCUAAGCCAAAAUCGAAACAAUUGAAAAAUAUACAUAAAUUUAAGGUGAAUUCUCACCAGUACAUGUGGCGCUUAUGUGUAUUAUUACGAGGCUGAUGACUAAGCAUUUUGAUAAUUAAUGUUUAUUUGAUCCUUCAAUUAUUUUAAAUAUAAGUUUUGUCAUUAGGUUUAUAUAUUUUACACUAACUAGUCAUUUAGUUAAAGUCACCAUUAAUUUGUAUGAAUCCGAUAAAAAUCAAUCUUCGUAAUCAAAUCACCCAUCAGUAAUUGUCAGACAAAACUUCCACGGGAUCUACUGUGAACCCCCACUCGAUCAAACAUCCUUGGUCAUCAUCAUCAUCCGGAAAAUUCUGGACCGUCGAUGCAUAGGACUUGAAUCCGAUGUUGCAGUCGACAAUCUCGGAGUGAUCGACGGCGUUCAAUCUUUCCUUGGACCAGGUAAGAAGCUGGGUAGAGGGAAGGGUGAAGCCCGAGCAGUAGCGGAUGCAGCCCGGCUGGCCAUUGCUGUCGUGGAUUCCCAUAUAGCUGGAUGGAAGGUUUGAGAACCAUCUGUGGAUGUUGAAGAAAUCUGUGAAGAGCGUCCAUAUUUGGUCGGCACUGGCUCUCUUUACGGUUGCCGGGACCUUUCCAUUCCAUUUGGGGAGUGGGUGGUUGUUGGGUUGGGCUUCUUCUGCCAUUGAAUUGCUAUUUCAAGAGUGGGACGAUGGAAUUCAGGGGAAUCUUGAUAGCAGGGGUGAAUAUGAAUGGGGAAGACAUACAAGACAAUCAUAUGUUUUGGUUUGAUGUAUUAGUUAUGUAUGUUCUUAUCUUAUAGUUGCACAAGGUGGAAAAAAAGGAAGACGAUGAUCGAAGAAGUAUAUAAAUCGGUAUUUCUCAAGACUGAUAAAAGGUAAUAUAAUCAAUUAAAAUUAAAUUUUAAAUGAUUAUCAUUUUAAAAUUUGAAGAAAAAAAUGUUUAUUAACUUAAAAAUGAACGAAUGAAAUAUAUCUGAUAAAUCAAAAUUUAAUAGUCCAAGACCCAUAAAAGUAUUUUGAGAAAGGAGGCCGUCGGUGCCUAGCCGGGCUUAGGCGUACAUACAAGUUACGCCAUCCAACUCCGUGUGGAAAACAAAACACACAAGAAGAACAAAUCAGGGCACGGCAAGUUUUUCGUGAAGAAAAUUGAAAGAUCAAACCCCCCUAUGCCAGUAACUUUUUUUGAGAGAUCCGCAAUCGAAAGCUCCAUUUCUCUCCGCAUUUCACCCAUUUUUCAUUGCAAUUCCCUCCAAUCCACCCGGAUUUAGAAGAAGAAGAAGAAGAGGAAGAAGAUAUGAGUAUGUCGAGUUGCUUCUUUUGCGGAAGUGUCAUGCCGUCGAUUGGGCCUAAAUCGCCGACCGCCACGACCAUCUCCACACGUUCUUAUGCCGGUCAAUCACCAAGUUACCUACUCGGAAGCGCAUUUACUGCAGCGGGGACGGUUUCAUGUAGGGUUCUGAGAGUCAGGGCUUCUGCCGUGGAUUCGCAUGGGAACUCCUCUGAUUUCACCAAACGUAUGGAGCAGGCUUGGUCGAUAUCUAAGGUAAAGCUCCUCAAUUUAGGGUUCUUCACGAGCUAGGGCGGUCAGAUUUUCAAUUUUUCUAAUUGAAGAUUUUUGGUAUCGUGGAUUGGUUCUUGAAUUGCACAACUGUGGAAUCGGAUGGAAAUUAGCACGUAUGAUAUUUGAAGCUAUCCAACUUCAACUUGUGAAAUGUCCAUUGCCACGAUUCAGUCUAUUGCCUAUUGUGAUUAUUUCCCCUCACAGUUAGGGUUUAGGGAUUAUUUUGAUUGAAUUUAAGAGAUUGAGCAAAAGAAGGAAAUGGUGUUGCUAGUUGGUUGAAUGAUUUGAAUUUCUUGUUUAAAACCAGUUUAGCUCGACUACAGACCUGAAGCCUGCAUGAACUUCGUAACCAUUGUGCUACGAGUUAGUAUCCUACUGUUUGUUCUAAAAGACAAGCUCAAGAGCUGCUGCUGUUUGUAAAGUUCCUGGGUUUUUGUUGUUGAUGUCGUACUAACCGAGCGAUCACGACGAUUGCAGCAACCAAGGCCAGUGCCAUGUACUUGUUGCGAGUCGAAUGGCACCAUUGAAUGCCAAUGGUGUAGAGGAACUGGUUUCUUCAUUCUAGGUGAUAACAUGCUGUGUCAAGUCCCUUCUAGAAACACCACUUGUGUAAUUUGUGCCGGCAAGGUGAUAAUUUCCUCAAGCAAACUCAUUUUGAUAAUCUCUGAAUUGCAACUAUCAGAUAAAUUGCCAGAACUGAUGUAAGUCUUGUGAACGAUAUUGUGAUAUUCCAGGGAUCCAUGCGUUGCGGCGAUUGCAAGGGAACUGGGUUUCGUGCAAAGUGGUUGGGAGAACCCACAGGUUCUAGCUAAAUCACUGUCACUGGAGGGAGCAGCUCGGAAACAAGCUUCCAAAUGAUUCAAUUUUUUUUUUCAAUUUCAGGGUUUAUUAAUUGGACUCUUAGCAUCAGCAAAAAUGUAUGUUUCUGACUUGUAAUACAUCAUCAUUCAUUACCAAUUCUAUUUCUAGAUGGUUGUCAAGCAAUUGGUACAUGUAUUAAUUAACACAUACAUGAAGACACCAGGACAAAGAAAUGACAAAAAAGAUUGUCAUACUACAAUGUAGACUGGCUCUCUAGUUAAUAACCGACAUUGCCACGGGACAGCUUGAAACUGGUAUGGCCACCAUCAUCUUUCUUUCGUGUCGAUAUCGUCAUUUAGUUGUUGCUUUGCACAAUAGCUGAGAAGAGCAAUUUGUUGAUCUCCUGACCAUCCGAAUCAUGUCUGUCAUUUCCUGCAUUAUCGACAUAACUCAUCAACGAAGCACCACUAUUGGACAGCAGGUCCUCAAAAGUGAACCUCUGUCAAGAAAUUCAGAAGCAGAAUGACCAUACUGGAACUUUAUGUAGAGUAAAAUGGCCAAUAUUUUCAAUUAGAAUCCGGUUAUCUUGAAUUUCUAAGCUACCCAUCAUCAUCAAACAACAAUGAAAGAAGGGUUCCAGAUUCUUACCAGUUCUUGAUCGGACUUGAGUCCUCCACUCAUCAAUGACCUGAAAAACACAAAUGCAUCAAUGGUUCAUACAAAAGAUAUCUCUUGGUCACAGAUACCGAUUCUGAAAAGACAAGACUCGACAAAAGGCAAGCAGAGGUUUGACAUGAUAUCGGGUUCAGUCCUAUAGAGGAUUUGACACUGAAAGAAAAGCUACCAAAUAUCAUCUGUUUAAGGCUGCUUUCUGGUCUAAAGCUUCAGAUAUAGUUGAAUGAAUGUAGGUUAUGGGUUGCCUCCACAGAAAUUGUGGGAACACUCUCUACACAUAGCACUUGGAAACUAAAUUUCUAAAAUUGUUCUGAAUGCGUAGAGAAGUGUUGCAUUUUUUUGCACUAGUACCUGAUUGAAGUCGGUAAAUGCAGAAUCCUCUUCAACAUUUGUAGGAGGGAUACCAGUUGAUACUUGCAUCCGAUUUAUCACAUUGUUGUUCCCCAAAAGAGUUGCACGAGCUUUAUCAAUCAAAUCCUACAGAAACAUAUCCAAAGAACGAGUCCUGAUCAGUAUUCACAUCUACCAAAUUAACCAUGGUGAAGCAUAUAUAUAUGCUCAAAUGAAGACAAUGCCAGCUAAGAUCACAAACUGAUUCUGCAACUGCUUUCAGAAUAAGUACUGAUUUGGAUUAAAACCCCAGAAGGACAAGCCUAGCAGUUGAAUUUUGAUGACCUCUGGAAGGUUCAUACUGAGAAAAGAUCAGUGAAGCAGUGAUUACUGAUUAGUCUCAUCCCAGAGUUAGAUCAAAUAAGUAGAAGAUGGAACCUGCUUCGCAGCAAGUAGCUCACGGCACCGAUCCAUUAACUCUGUAACUUCUUCUUGUACCUUCUUUAUCCUGUUAACCAGCUUUACCGGAUUUGCCUGCAAGCAUAAGCACAGACUACUUAGCCUAUAAAUCGAUCCAUGAUCCAAUUACCGAACCAAGGAAUUCGAGCAACAACGGAUAAAAAUGUCGCCAGAUGAAACUAAGAUACAUUUGGUUUCGACCAACUUACGUUGUCUGGGUAAGUCUGUUGAAACUCCUUCUCGAGCUUAGACUGAACAGCUGCGAGAUCAUGGUGAGCUUUCGUCAACAGAUUGACCAGGCCAUCUGCCGCUUGGUUAUGCUCAUGAUGGUGACGAUGCCCCAUUUUCCUCUUUGCUUCUUUCUAGGGUUUGAGCCUGAGAAUUUGACUCGUAAUUCGAUUGAUUUACGCGCCCAGCUCUCGGAUUUUGAUUUUUGUGGAAUUCAUCAUUGUAAUCGCUUUCUCCGGCACCUUAAAUUCAACGGUUAGAUUGCUCUCUGCUCUUGGAUAUGAAACGGUGCCGUUUCAAGCUUUCGUACAGCUUUGUUUAGUUCCUCUGUUAUGCGGAUCAGAGAAUGUGCGGGGGAAGAGAUGGCGAACGAGGACGAAGAGAAAGCUCUGGAGAAUCAGCUAGAAGAGCAGUUACAUGAACUGAGAGACUCCCUUGCUGAUCUUGACGACGCUCUUUCUUCUGAUGCUUCCAAUUCUGAGCUGCUCUCUGUAAGAAUCUACGAACCCGAAUUCAAAGCUUUUCGCUUUAGGGUUUCCUGAGAGAUUUUGCGCCGUGAGAACUGGCUCCGUUGUUAAAUCGGUUUCCACAUUUGGGGUUUCUUCAGGUUCAGGAGGAGCUUGUUCAGUCGAUCAAAGAAGCGGAGGAUGGGCUUCUUCACCUUAAACGUGCUCGGUUGUUAAGGCAAGUGGAUGUAGCAGCAGCAGCACUUCAGAGCUCCAGUCGCAUUCCCAACGAUGUUGAAGUGGUGCAUAUUGAAGAUACAGACGGUGAAGCAACACUCCAGAGUUCCAAGGGUGAUGUUGAAGUGGUGCACAUUGAUGAUACAGAUGGAGAAGCAGAACCAGUGGAGGACACCGAUGGAUUUUCUGUUGGAUCCAAAUGUAGGUUCCGUUCUGCUGAUGGGCGGUGGUAUAGCGGAAAGAUUAUAGGGUUUGAAGGUUCUGAUGUUGCAAAGAUAUCUUUCCUCACACCUACUUCGGAUAACAUGCUGGUGGGUGGUUCAUUCGACUUUUUCUUCUUCUUCUUCUUCCAAUUUCGAAUGUUCUUUUAUUAUUCUCUGAAAUGGAACUCCUUUGGCAUUUCGAAUGAUCCUUUCAGUCUUUUUUAUUGAUGUGUGAUUCUAGUGUUUGAUCUGUGCACUGUUCUUCUGUAAGGGUUUUCAAGUUAUACUACCUACAUUCUGAAGUAAAAGCUGAUGGUUUUGUAGUCAUGAUACUAAUGGUCGACUGCCCAAGUGCAGAUGUGCAAGUUUUUCCGGCAACAACGAUGUCGAUUUGGUACUGGUUGCCGCAUGUCCCAUGGUAUGUUGCAUUUUUCAUUGCUGGUACAUGGACCAGUGGAUUCUUGAACUCAAUACUUGGGAUCGAACUUCUGUUUUCAUUGAAUUCGAACUUGGAGUCAUAUGAGAAAGACCUAUGUGCAGUUUUCUGACAAAAGAUACGUUCUUUUUGUUUGAGUGGCGGAUAUUGUUUUGGGAUUAGCGUUGGCAGAGCCCUGCCGCUUUGUUAUUCUCAAAGUGAUUGAACCUAUGACUGAAUGCUUUACUUGAAACCUUUGUUAACUCGUUGGGUUUGUUCCUGAUUAAGCCUCUAAUGUUAAGAUACAGUAUGAAGCUUUUACACUUUUUACACUCUUAAUUUAGUGAAAUCUUCACCUAUUUACAAUUUUCCUAGUUCCAUGCUUCCUGCUUGUGUUUUUUGCUGCACACAUUUUCUCUUUUGCUAUUAUAUACACCAUUUUCAAGCUGAUGUAAGUUCCUGUAUGCAGGGGUUGAUGUGCCAUUGUCUUCCCUGAGGGAGUAUGUUCCAACAGUCUGGGAUCAGUCAUUUGUGGGUUCCAGCAUUUUUGCAAUAGCUAACCGAAGUGUUGGAAUUUGGAGAGAAGCUGAGCUCCAAUCUUGGGAUAAUGAACUCGGGAUGGGAAAGGUUGUUUUCCGUGAUGAAGGGAGCUCUGCUAAGCUUCAGCCUGAAGAUAUGUCAUUAUCUGAUUAUGGAGUAGUCAGCGAGGAAGAAGAUGGUUGUGAUACAAGCUCAGAACAAUCCGAUUCAAGUGAUCGUGAAGAAGAAGAAGAAAGCCCCGGAGGCUUGGGAUUUCUUGGGAGCACCAACCAACAAAGAGGUAUCCAAAAGGAAACUGCGAUAUUCGCAAAGUGGGAGAAUCAUACCAGGGGUAUAGCUUCCAAGAUGAUGGCAAAUAUGGGUUACCGUGAAGGAAUGGGUUUAGGCGCAUCGGGGCAAGGAAUGGUGAAUCCAAUUCCCGUGAAGGUCCUUCCGGCUAAGCAAUCACUUGAUCACGCUUUAGAAUCUCAAAGAGGAGGUGAACAGAGCAACAAGGAAAGUCAUGGAAAGAAGCGAAGCAGAGGUGGGAAGAGAAAACGUGAGAAGAAGUUUGCUGAGGCAGCUAGGGCAGCAAAGGCCUCGGCGAAGAAUCAAGAAGAAACUAGACCAGACGUCUUCAGCUUCAUUAAUGACCAACUCGCAAUGCACAACGGUGGGUCGGCCAAGAAGGAACAGAGAAAAGGUUCAGGGGAGAAGAAAAUGGACAGACGAGCUCUGGUUGCUCAUGAAGACGAGAUGAAUGAUUUGAGAAUACAAGUAGAUCGGCUGGAGGAGAUGGCAAAUAGAAACAGGAAGGAGAAGUUAGUUUAUGAAGCCACCAUGAGAAGGUUAAACGAAGCUCGGAAAGCCUUGGAAGACGCUCAGGCUACUCAUGCUUCUGCUACUUUUGCUAUUGUUAGCAAAGAGCAAGAGAAGAAAUGGCUCAAGUUUUGAUGGAUGUCAUUGUUUCGUAUGUUGGCUUAUAUCUUUAGUGUCUGUACUUCUACGAGUGACUUAAUUCAAUAAUUAUUAGUCCGAGAUUUACAUUUGACUAGUUGACUAACACAGUUAUGAACAUCAACACUACCCAGUAAAGCUGGUAAGUGAAUAUUUUCAUUCCCAACUUGAAUACAAUAGGUCUUUAUAGUCCCCUAGUGAGAAUAUUUGCUAGAUGUCCACACCUACACAUGUGGGCAGAGUGAUAUCCACCCACUGUCAGUCAAUCUGAAGUUGCAGUCUGCUUCGAUAUGAAAUGGUGGUGUCGUAAUGUAGCGCACAAUAAGCUUUAACCUUGCGUGAAACAUUGGAUUCUUCGUUUGGGAUUGCGGUGAAUCAAAAUAUGGGGUCUAAUAGCAACGAGUUGCUGUGAGCAGACGGUGUCGUCUCAUCUGUUUGGCAGAAGCCCUAACCAUAAGAGCCCAUCUCCGGUUUAAUCUCAGAAUCAAACGGGAGGGGAAGUUAGAACAGAGAACUGCAGGCGAAGAGGAGACAUUCACAAGUCUGAAACCCAAAAACCCUAGCUAGAAUAAUCAGAAGUAACUCAAAGCAUUCAUUGGAGAGAUGAAGAUAGCCGUGGAAGGCUGUAUGCAUGGCGAUCUGGAGACAGUUUACCAGACACUCCAGCACCUCGAGAAGUUGCACGAUACCAAAAUCGACCUUCUCCUUUGCUGCGGCGAUUUUCAGGUUUCUUCCUUUCCUAUCAUGUUCCUCCAAUGAUUUUCUACUUAGCUUGUGUGUUUCAUUUUGCUUGUGUUUCCGCCCAGGCGGUGAGGAACGAGAGAGAUCUGCAGAGCCUGAAUGUGCCGCCCAAAUAUCGAGAUAUGAAGUCUUUCUGGAAGUACUACUCCGGCCAGGAGGUCGCUCCCAUUCCUACGAUUUUCAUCGGUGGAAAUCAUGAAGCUUCCAAUUACUUGUGGGAACUGUGAGUGCUGGGGGUGUAGUAACUUUGCUUCUGUUCACUUUGUUGUUAUAUGUUAGCUGGUUGCUGGAGUGAUAUGGUUUAGGUUUUGUACCUCAGAUAUUAUGGAGGAUGGGCAGCUCCUAACAUUUUCUUUAUGGGCUUGUCUGGAGUGGUCAAGUUUGGUAACAUUCGUAUAGGUGGCCUUUCUGGGAUUUACAAUGCCAGGGACUAUCAUAGAGGUCAGCCUUUCUUAUGUAUCAGCUCUGAAGCGUUGCAAAGAGAUGUUAGAGUUGCAUAUGAUUAGAAACUAGUCGUAGUAGUUCUAGUUAUAAAAUUUGUUGAAUUUCGUGUUGGAUGAGCAGGGCAUGAUGAGAGGCCACCGUACAAUGAAAAUUCUAUAAGAUCCAUUUACCAUGUUCGUGAAUAUGAUGUACAUAAGCUCAUGCAAGUAGAAGAACCAAUUGACAUCUUCCUUUCACACGAUUGGCCUCUUGGCAUCACUGAUUGUGGUGAUUGGCAGCAACUUGUUCGUUUCAAACCAUUCUUUGAAGCAGAGGUAAUUCUAACUUUUGCAAGUUCGUUUACGUGUUCCAUUGUUUUAUUCAGUCUUUUAGUGUUGUUUGUUCCUUUUAACAUUUGUAGAUAAAGGAAAGGACCCUUGGAAGCAAAGCUGCUGCUGAGCUAUUAGAAAAGUUGAGACCCCCCUAUUGGUUUUCUGCUCACUUGCACUGCAAAUUCGCUGCCCUUGUCAAUCAUGGAUCAAGCGGCAAGACAACUAAAUUUCUUGCACUCGAUAAAUGUCUACCAAAGAGAAGAUUCUUACAGGUAUUUAUUUACUUGUCUUUGAUGAUUUUCAUGGCUCAUGUUGUGAACCUUACCGUGAAAAUUAUUUUGUAGAUUAUUGACAUAGAGUCAAAUCCAGGACCUUUUGAGAUCCAGUAUGAUGAGGAAUGGCUAGCAAUAACCAGGAAAUUUAACUAUAUUUUUCCAUUGACAUAUAAAAAUCCUAACUUUAGGUAGGUUUAUCAUCAUACUUAUCUCUUCAUGUCGCUCUAAAGUUUGUCAUUCUCUUCUACGGUUAUUAAAUCUUGCGUUGGUGAUCUUCUAGGGAUACGACAUUGGAGAUCCAAGAUUGUCGUGAAUUGGUCAAGAACAAACUACAAGCUAGAGGAGCUAAAACGUUUGAAUUUGCUCGUACUGUUCCUGCUUUUGAUCCCAGUCAAUCUAAAGUAAAGGGCUCCCCCGGUGGUGAUGGUAAUGAUGGCUGAUCAAGUAAUUUUAGUUAUGUUAGAUAUCUAUCAUACCCUGUAGACACUAAAAUCUUUGCUUUAUUCUGUUUCGCACUUAUUUCUUAAAGUGUUUGAUUGAUUAGUAUCAUUAGCUCCACGGACAGGCCUGCAUGUUAGUCAUGGCUGUAUCUAAAGAAGUUCCGGUUGACGUAUUGCAGAUUGUCCUAGGAAUCCCCAAACAGAGUCUUUCAUGCAGCUUUUGGAGCUACCAUAUCUGCUAGACAGUGGAUGCAAACAUAAAGGAAGCGUUAAUGAUGACACGACUGGUGUAGUGAUCCGUAAAGGUAAAUAUGACUUGCUAGCACAUUCCUACAUUGAACCUCUUUAUUUUCAGUUGACGAUUCCCUGUGACAAUUCCGUGCACAUUCAUUCUCCGGUUCAACUUUUAGUCUGAAUUCCCUUGCAUUUGAGUUAGCACUUCUGCAUGCACUUGUUGUUCCAACUACACUGAUAGAUUUGUAAUCAUUUGAAGUUUUCCUGUCAUCAUAGUCAGUAAAAUGUCUUAACGCUAAAACCCAACAUGUAAGAAAAAUUAACCAGUGACCAACAAGCCUGCAUUUUGAAAGUGUUUAUACAAAUUGUGUAGGUCCUUACGUUGAUGAUCCUGAAGAGAUACCUCUAGAUGAUGCUGAUGAUACCGAUGGGGACCCAGGAACUUCAGAUGAAUAGCUUUUUGAGACACCAAACAGAGCUGUAAGGAAUUUCUUGUCUCUUUGUAUCUUGUAUUAUAUGAUUGCUUUAUCCGAACUUUCUUCCUCAUUAUGUCAAGAAAGAUUGGAUUAUACAUCUUGUCUACAUAACAUGUAAUUUAUAUAAAUAUCCUGAAGAGAUGCAUGUUUAGAAUUGGCUGAAUUCAUUGUAGAAUACUACAACAAUCCUGUUCAGGUUGCUCUUUGUGAUGCUCUGCUUUAGCGUGUGGCUAUUGUCGGUGGGGGUUGGCAGAUAAGUGAAAUGCAGAGAUUGUGGGUUUGGUUUUUGUACAAUGAAGAGUCAAAUCCCAGUUGGGUAGUGGGAAGGUUACCAUGAGUGUAAUAAUAAAUGAAUAGGGUAAGAGCGAGCUGGCAAGUGAAGUGGAAAAAUAAAUUGAGUGGGUACAAGACACUUGCUGCUGUCAACUUUAUUUUAAGUAGAAGGAACAGUAGCAAUGAUGGAGGACUGAACAAACUCUUGGAAGGAUCUAGUCUACCAUCCCGAUUUUGAUUAUCAACGUGGAAAUUUGCCAGAACAGGUGUGUAUGCAAGGUGGAAAUGGUUUCUAUCUACAGGCAGAAUGGCAGAUGUGAACUGUCCUUUGAAGUAUUCAAGGUUUAGAAACCAAGUAUCAACUUUCCUCAAUGUACCUGUGUUUUCUUUUUUGUCACACAUGAAUUUACACCGUAUGCUUCAACUCUUGUAGAUAGUAACUCUUUCAAAACAACUUUGUUAUUCGAUGUCGGUAUUGCUGGGUACUACGAUAUACACCUUAAUGUGAGUCUUCUAUUCAAGCAUUAUGCCUCUUGAAUGCAAAUACUACAUUUACAUUACAUGCUAAUUUUGGUUAUCCAUCAAAUGUACUGUUGCUUGGUUGGUUUCCUAUCGAUCAAUUCUGCUAUAUAUCGACAUAUAGUUCUUGUAAUGUAUCCAAGCUCGAAUGCUGCUGUUGGGUGUGAAUGUAUUCUUUCAUCGAAGAGUUGGUUGAUGCUUGAACACUGAUAAACCUCUUUAGCUACCAACUGAAGAAAAACCAAAGCUCUGAUGAAAACUAAAAAGCAAAGUGCCAUACAACAUGAUCAUAUGAAUGAUAGAAAAGAAGUGCCGGCUUGGAAUUCUCACAAAGCUUUUCAACUGCUGAGAAAUUCAAAACCGUAAAAAGUAGCACGUAUUAACGAGGAGACAGGCAAGGUAGGAGCUUUUACUGCAGCCAGUGAAAGAUCAGUGGAUAGCUGAGAUUCCAAGGUAUCAUAAUCCUACUGGCUACUACAACUAACUCUCAUUAACACCAUAUGACCAAAUUUUUUUUAUAUCCUUGAUGGGCCUCUGGCUGAAGGGUCAGGACGAAAGUCAACCGCUCCAACCACUUGGGAAGUCUGAUUGCCUAGCUUUCAAUGGCCCUUCCGGAGCAUGGGUUGCCUAAUCCAACCACAUUACAUCUCGGAUCAAUAGGAUUUGGCUCGUCGCAACUCGGGUAUCGCUCAAAGGGCUACGUGGCAACAUCGUUGCGGACCACCUCAGUUGAAGGACGGAGAUCACUCUGAUCAAGUCAAACACUAGGAUGAGGUCACACCGCCCAACUCCAAUACUAUAAAUACGAUCCUGCAACCACUAUUGGAGGGACAAACUAAUUACAGUGGGAACAUUCCCCUCAGUACGUAUUGACGUAUUCUCUUAACGUUCUUUCUUUUUCUUCUAUUCUUACUCUUACGUCACCUUUUGAAGUCACUACUACGCAAUACUUUUAUCGUGAAGGACCUAAUAAGUGCUGGACCAAGCGAUCAAGCUCGAGACUAAUAAAGAAAGUUUGUAGACAAUUGAUGUUGAGGAGUCACAUUUACAGUGUCUCUGUCGAUCUUAUAGAUUUAGUUACAAAGAAAAGAGAGCAUAAUAACAAGCCACAUCUACCCACUUGCUCCUGACAUCUUCCAUAAAUGCACCACCUUUGAAUGCUCUCCUGUUCUUCCUGCUACUCCCUACUUCCUUCUUCACCCAACAUUACAAACCAAAACCAAGUUUCACUCACUACCAAACUGUACCCGAAAUUUCCAGUAAUGGAUUCUUCAGCAACCUCACCACUUCCUCUUCUGCUCCUUAUUCUCAUUCUCCCCAACUCUUCUUCUGCGACACUGUCCUUUGACUUCUACUCAUCCUCCUGCCCUGCCGUCAACUUGAUUGUAUCCAACACAGUCAGGACAGCUUCCUCCGACGACCCAUCUAUCCCCGGGAAGCUCCUCCGCUUGCUCUUCCAUGACUGCUUCGUCGACGUAACAACAUAAAGAUUCAGUCUUUAACCAAUUUUCUGCUUCCUGGCUACUUGAUAAUCAUAAACAUACAAUCUUUUUUCAGGGUUGCGAUGGAUCUGUGCUUCUAGAAGGGAACUCGACGGAGAGGAGUGACCCGGCCAAUGGGUCGCUGGGAGGGUUCGAAGUGAUCGAUUCGGCGAAGAGGGUGCUGGAGGUGUUCUGUCCUGGCAUUGUAUCUUGUGCUGAUAUUCUGGCUCUGGCUGCUAGAGAUGCUGUUGUAAUCUCUGGAGGACCGGAUACUCAAAUUCCAAUGGGGAGAAGAGAUGGGUUGGUUUCGUCUGUAUUGAAUGUUAGACCAAACAUUGUGGACACUAGCUUCACCAUGCCUGAAAUGGUCAAGAUCUUCUCCUCCAAAGGUCUCUCUCUGGAUGACCUCGUCGUUUUAUCUGGUAAGCCUAUUUGCUCCACCCCACUUUCGGUCCCAAGAAUUGAAAUUUAUAUGUUAGUGAUCUUUUCGAAUUUCGUCCGGUGCAUUUUUAGUUUCGACUUAUUGUUUAGCCAUAGACUGAACAAGGAGUUGUGGAGAGUCUUAGACUUUCUUUUUUCCUAGUCAUGAAUACUAAAUUAUAUUUGAAAUUUAGACAUUUUCAUCAUUUAACUCAAUUCUAUAUGAAGUUCCACUCUCCUAUUUAUUUGUUUAGAUCGUGUUAUUUAUUAAAUUCAAUUAUUACCCCCAAUGAACUACUAACCAUACAUUUAAUCAAAAUAGACCGAAUUCAAAAAUAAUAAACCAUCGGUGGCACAUUAAAACCGGUUUCAACAAAAAAUGCAUGGUGAUUAGGAUUUUUUUUAUACAUUAAGGGCUUUGUUUUCUACUCAAAAGCGGACGGAAUUCAGUUUUAAAGGCAUAUGUUGGAUUUGUCCAAAUCCGGAUCUCUCCAAACGAACUUUAGAGGUUGGAAUUAGGCAGAAGCCUUCAAAUUUGACAUGAUUGGGGAUGUUGCUUUAUGGUUGUGGAAAAUAUAUUUAGCCGAAUUUAUUGAAUAUUUAGAAUUGAGUCCUAAAUUCAACCAAUAAAAUGUGUCACAGAAACCGAACCUUAAUAUUUGGUUCAAAAAAUAGGUUUAGGAAAAUGAAUUUGUCAUUCUAUUAAAAAAUCAAUAACAAUAGAAAUUUGUUUGAUUCAAAAUAGACUCGGUACAUGUCUCGGUCUUGAUUACACACACCCCCGACUAGUUGAGUGUGUUUUGUAACUUAAUUACUAAGGUGGGUUUGCUUGUUUGUGUUUUAACUUCAGGAGCUCACACAAUAGGAUCAGCCCAUUGCGGAGCAUUCAGCGACCGAUUCCACACAGAUCCAAAAGGGAAACUGAAUGUGAUCGAUUCCUCACUGGACGCUAACUACGCAAAGGACUUGAUCCAGAAAUGCCCAGCCGGAGCAAAUAACCCGUCGGUAACAGUUGCGAACGACCCGGAAACAUCUUCAGUGUUCGACAACCAGUACUACAGGAACCUGUUGGGACACAAGGGUCUGUUCCAGUCAGAUUCCGUGCUGCUGGAGGACAAACAGACGAGUAAAUUGGUGCGAGAUUUGGCGGCGGAUGAGGAGGCAUUUUUCGAGAGGUGGAGCGAGUCCUUCGUGAAGCUUACUAGUGUUGGUGUGAAGACCGGCGAGGAAGAAGGAGAAAUUCGAGCUUCUUGUUCCGUUACUAAUAGUAAUAUGAAUAGGAAGAAGUGAAUUUAGUUGACACGGUUGGAGUUAGUUAAUUAAUCACAUUGUUUCGUACAUAUGUUAUCACUCAGCUCAACCUUGAUAAUAUCAGGACAUUAAUUCAUACGAGCGCAGUUUGGACUAAAACACGUCUCAAUUUAUUUGUCAAUGGUGUGGUGGCGGAACGUUUAUCUCAAUUUUUUAUCUUUAUGUCCUGGAGUUCAUGACUGUUUGUGAUGCAUGUAUUUUGAGUUGUUUAUGGGAAGUGUUUUGAGUUGAGCGAUAUUGAAGGUGAUGCAACACUAGUUCUCUCUCGGUUUUAACAACGAAGUUCGCGGUUGUUUGCGCUUUCGUUCCAGCAUGCUUGCCUUUUCGUGUGGCUCGUCCUGAAUUGCUGGUGCAUGUAAUUGAACUACAAAUGAAGUGUUGUAGAGACUGAUAAAUCAUUGUUUAUAUUUGCUAUAUUAAUUCUUUAGUAAUGACUAAAGCCAUCUAUGGAAAAAAAACUAGAUGAAAAAACUAGUACGUUAAGUUGUAAAUACAUUAAAAUAGGAUGAUCAAAAUAGAUAUACUGCGGAACCUUUUCUUUUUUGAUAAAUCAAGGGACCUCAACAAAACCCUAGUAACUGCUCAAGAACUGCCGCUCUCACCAUCUGCUGUAUCUCUUCCAGUGCUGGAAUCCAUCUCUGAUUUUCAUAGAACUCUUUGCACGACUUUAUGUUAUUGUCGAUCACUGACAAUCAACACCGACUGCUGAUUUUUUCUGAUUUCUUUCGAUUUUUGAGACCCUUGCAAGUAUGGCGGACGUUAUGGGCGCGAAGGACAUAGGGGCUGUGGCGGCGGAGGUUGGAAUCGACCUUUCACAGGUUGAUUUUGACUCAAUCCAGCUGCCGGCCGGCGAAGAUUUCGGCAUCCUCAGGUACUUAUUCCUAACCAUUGCACUCAGAUGGGAUUCUGUUUCGAUGAUGCUCAUUAUUCUCAUUAGGCGUUUUCCCUAUCUUUGUAAGCGAUGACGAUGACAUCCUCCAAGAGGAGCAGCUAGAUUUCGAUUCUGGCUUUGGAAACAUCAUUGUGGUGGAUAAUCUUCCUGUUGUUCCAUUUGAGAAAUUCGAGAAGCUCGAGGGAGUUAUCAGGAAGAUCUUUUCCCAAACUGGGGUUAUUAAGGAGGAUGGUCUCUGGAUGCCACUUGAUCCUGAGACCAAGAAAACUAAUGGUUACUGCUUCAUUGAAUACAACACUCCUCAGGUUACUGGUUUUCCUACGGUUUUGUCUUGUUAGCUUCUCCGAUAAUCUAUUUUGUGUUUGGUUGUUGAUCUACUGUGGGUUCAAUUCACAGGAAGCUGAGCUUGCUAAAGAGAAAACCAAUGGAUACAGGCUUGACAAGUCCCAUUUUUUUGUUGUCAAUAUGUUUGAUGACUUUGAUAAGUACAUGAGAGUACCGGAUGAAUGGGCAGCUCCUGAGGUUAAGCCAUACGUUCCUGGGGUAAGAUCUUGUGCUUCUCAUCUCUUACUUCUUGCUCAGCUUCUGCAUGUUAUCUUAGAAUGGAUGAUGUUCGAUAAUGAGUUUCUGUACCAGCGAUUUGUUAGUUGAGGUGAGGUGUGUUGAGGAACUCUAUGCUUUUUUGGUGCUCCCAACAUUGAUGUACAAUUCUAUAAGUGUGUGCUCCUUUUUUAUUGUAUGCUUGAUUCUUGUGCUGCCUAUUAUGUGCGUGGAUUAUUGAUUGCUGAUAUAACUUUGGGAUAUGCUUAUGAGGAGUUCAUUGUGUUCAGGUUUUUGAACGUCUUGUGUUUUAGACUUUUAGUAUGCCUGUUCCGCAGUUGGAAUAAGAGCCAUAUAUAUUCUGAUAUUGGCCUUGUUUAUAAUGGCUGCAUUUUCCCCUUGAUUCAUGAAGAAAGUAAACUCUGUACACUCUAAACACUAUUAAUUUUGAUUUCCCCCAGUAUUUCGUACACUCUUUUUAGGCUCAACUCUGGUUGGCAAUUGGAUACAUGAAAGGUCCAAUGAGAAUUAGUUUUUGUAUGUGCUUAUUUUUGUUAUGUGUACUUAAUGUUAUUGCAGGAAAACCUACAGCAUUGGCUAACCGAUGAAAAGGCUAGGGAUCAGUUUGUGAUCCGUGCAGGCACUGAUACUGAGGUGUUCUGGAAUGAUACUAGACAUUUGAAGCCCGACCCUGUCUACAAGCGGGCUGUAAGUGUUGCCUGCUCAUUUUUUGGGAAUAUUUUCAUCAUUUGCCUUCCUCAUUGUUUCAUUAAGUUUCUGUUGGAAUUUAUUUUGAAAAGACAAGUCAGUGUUGGAAUUUUUUGAUGGAACUGCCACUGUCUUAUCAUCAAACGCUUGUAUUUGAAUCUUGAUGUAUAAGUAGGUGAAAAUAAUGUUCUAGUGAGUCGUUUACUAGAAAAAUGAAAACAUGAUUCUGUAAUAUUGGGGAGCUGCAACGGACGAAAUUGAUCACAAACUUUCAAAGAAAUAUAUAUGGACAAGCUGUCUGUCUAGUUUCAUAAACAAAUAUUAUUUUAUUGAAAGGUUAUGGUAAUUAUCUUUCGCUGAUGACCUAAUGUUCAUGCCUGUUUACUGUUGCAGUACUGGACAGAGAGCUUUGUUCAGUGGUCUCCACUUGGAACUUACCUUGCAACAGUUCAUAGGCAAGGGGCAGCUGUGUGGGGCGGUGCAUCUACCUUCAACCGUCUUAUGCGCUAUGCUCAUCCUCAGGUCUUUCUGCCUUCUAUUUGGGUCUCGUUUUUCACAGCUCUUUUUGUUUAUCGGCUUCAAUGUUUGAUUUCAGGUUAAAAUGAUUGACUUCUCCCCAGGUGAGAAAUACCUGGUAACCUACAGUAGUCAUGAACCAAGCAAUCCACGUGAUGCAAAUGUGAGCUUGUUUAUCAUGGCUUCUCUUUGUAUGUUUUAGCGUUGUCAGUUCUCUCUUUAUGCUUUGGGACUCAUCUAAUUAUUCUUUUCUUCCAGAGGGUUCUGAUCAAUAUAUUUGAUGUGAGGACCGGCAAGGUUAGAAGAGAUUUUAAAGGAAGUGCUGAUGAAUUUACAGCUGGAGGAGCUGGUGGUGUCACAGGUGUUCCAUGGCCAGUUUUCCGGUGAUUACUCUGUGCAAAUGAUUGUCCACAAUUUGAAUAUUCCUCCCCCCUUCCCAAUCAUUUUGACCUAAAAAUUCUUUAUUGCUGUAUGCAGCUGGGGUGGCGGAAAGGGUGAUAACUACUUUGCAAAAUUGGGGAAAAAUAUGAUAUCUGUCUAUGAAACAGAGACUUUCAGUCUCAUUGAUAAGAAAUCCAUAAAGGUUGAGAACGUUGUGGACUUCACUUGGUCUCCAGCCGAUCCAAUUAUUGCACUCUUCGUCCCUGAGCUUGGUGGUGGUAACCAGCCGGCUAGGGUGAGUCUUGUUCAAAUUCCCAGCAAACAGGAACUGAGACAGAAGAAUCUUUUCAGUGUCAGCGACUGCAAAAUGUACUGGCAAAGUGCUGGGGACUAUCUUGCUGUACAGGUGGAUCGGUACACCAAGACCAAGAAAAGCACAUAUACAGGCUUUGAGCUUUUCAGAAUUAAAGAACGUGAUAUUCCCAUUGAGGUUCUGGAGCUUGAAAAUAAAAAUGACAAGAUCAUUGCUUUUGCCUGGGAGCCAAAGGGGCACAGGUUUGCUGUUAUUCAUGGUGAUGGUCCAAGGCCUGAUGUAAGCUUUUACUCAAUGAAGACUGCUCAGCACUCUGGCCGGGUGUCCAAGCUCACUACCCUGAAAGGAAAGCAAGCAAAUGCUCUUUUCUGGUCUCCUUUGGGACAUUACUUAAUACUGGCAGGAAUGAAGGGUUUCAAUGGCCAACUGGAAUUCUACAAUGUUGAUGAGCUUGAAACUAUGGCAACUGCUGAGCACUUUAUGGCGACUGAUGUAGAAUGGGAUCCUACUGGAAGGUAGUAUAUUCUUUGCUUUCCGUACCACUGUGGUUGUCAGUCUGACUUAGAGUGAACGUGUUUGAUGGAAUGUCCUCUGAUGAUAAAAUGCUGAGAUAUAUGUUUUGGUUUUCAGGUAUGUGGCAACAGCAGUCACUUCAGUUCACCAUGAGAUGGAGAAUGGGUUCAAUAUCUGGUCCUUCCACGGAAAGCAACUCUAUAGGAUAUCGAAGGAUCAUUUCUUCCAGGCAAGUCUCUAUAUACCGUUACUGAGUUGUUCCGUCAAUCGGGUCGACAUUCUCAUUACCUGAACCACGGGUGCCUUGUCUUGUUGUUUUGCUUGUAUAUAACAGUUUCAAUGGCGCCCAAGGCCACCUUCCUUCUUGAGUGCGGAAAAGGAGGAAGAGAUUGCAAAGAACUUGAAGAAGUACAGCAAGAAGUAUGAGGCAGAGGACCAGGAUGUGUCGUUGCAAUUGAGCGAGCAAGAUAGAGAGAAGAGGAAACUGCUCAAGGACGAAUGGGCCCAAUGGGUGAGCAAAUGGAAGAAGAUGCAUGAAGAGGAGAAGUUGGAGAGACAGCACUUGAGGGACGGAGAGGCCAGCGACGAAGAAGAGGUGUAUGAAGCCAAGGAAGUUGAAGUCGAGGAAGUGUUGGAUGUCUCAGAGGAAGUGGUUUCAUUCGAAUACGGCCAGGAGUAGUAGUAACGCCAUAUGUAUUGCAUGAAUUUGCUAUAUGCUUGUUAGUUUUCUUUGCGGAGACGUUACGUCUUGUUCUUUGGGUCUUUGAUGUCUCUUCAAAUUAUGUUAGAAUUGGUUUAAUCAGGUUUGUUGGGGGAACCAUGCUCAAUUUUGUUAGACGCCUUUUGGGUGGAGAUGUUUUUUGUAAUGGAAUUAAUCUUAUUAGUUGAGAACAUCAUCGCAUCUGUGUCGAUUGUAAGCAAGCUAAUUGAUAAUUUUGAAUAGCAAAUGAAAAACUUAGUAGGGCUAAAUUGCGGGAGAGCAGCUUGAUGUUUGGCUAGGAAAAACCUCGUUUAAGUUUGGCUCAGUGUCAAACAAAUCUGCUUGAGAGCUGGCUCGAUAUUAAACGAGUCAAGCAUGGGCCAGCCCUUGUUUUUGUUCGACUCUGCACACUCGACGUUGGUCUAUCACACAUUAUGUGGUUUUAUUAAGGGUGUAUCAUGUUUCUUUCUAUACACAGAGGUGAAAGUUUCUUAAGAAUUCAAAUAAGGAUGUUCAUAUAUGCGCCAAGUCAAAAAAAUAUGGAACGAUUCGAGCUGGAGCAGGUAAGUAGUGGUGCAGCAAGAAGAUGGGAGCAGUAAUGGCGGAAUGGUGCAACGGGCCAUAAGAUGUAUCCUUUUCGCGUAAGAACACAGAAGAAUCUUAAACGGGGCUCAAUUUUGUGUUGGAAGGAUAAAACUUGUGGCGGUGUUUGGAAUUCGUCCACUGUGGAACGAGUUAAAACAUUAGCAAUUUCUGGGCAACUUGGUAAUGCCGUGAAGUUUGGUCUUCUAUUCUAUCCCAAAGAUGACAAAAAGGAGAAAGAAAGGUACAGGAGAGGAGACAAGAGUAAAAGACCCUUCGAAUACAUAGACUUAACGUCAUCGUCAUGAAUAUCCAAGUGGGUGCAUGCAGCCAAUUGCAGUAACCUGUUAUAAAUAUCAUGUGUUGAGACAUUCAUUCUUCACUCUUCAUUCCCACAAGUAGCAAGCAAAGUAAGUUGGUCCAAAAUGGGCGCCAAUGGUUUCUUCUUCCUCCUCCUCCUCCUAACCUUGAUUUCUCUCUUCCACAAUUUCCAUGUCUGUCACUGUGCUCGCCACAUAGUUGUUGUUGAACAAAAAUCCUCCUACCCUUCUUCUUCCUUUUCCUCCCCACCACCACCACCACCCGCCUCCACCACCCCCGUCCAACAACUAACACUCACCCAUCUCUAACCACCAAUUCCCCAGUUUCGCCUUUGGCUGCGCCGCCGAAAAGCUCGAUGAUGAAUCCGCCAAAGUUGACGGCAUUCUCGCCCUCGGCCCUCCCUCCGCCAAGGAAGACGUUCCACCCCUCCUCUCCCAGACUGCACAAAUCUACCGGACUAUAUUCUGCUACUGCUUGCCUACCGCCGCGGGUAAUUCCGGCUACCUUCUGUUUGGAUCGCAGGCGAUUCAGACCUGUCAAACUGAAAACACUAGAUCCACCACAAUCGUCCCCAAUACCACUAACCCGGCUAUGUACUUCGUCAAUCUCAACGGAAUCACCAUCGGAGACUUGGUGAUCCCCGCUUCUUCUUUGUCGUCGGCGGCGAUCGACUCGGGGACUGAAAUCAGCCGGCUCCCGCAGGAGGUGUACGAAGGCGUGAAAGCAGAGUUCAAGAAAUGGAUGGCGAAUUACACGGAAGUAGAGGGAUCGGAUAUUUUGGACACUUGUUAUGAUAUGGGCGGAGUGGAGAUUAAGAAUUUGAAAGUUCCGAUUAUGGUUCUGCAUUUCGGGGAUGAGUUGGAUAUGUAUUUGAACGAGGGUAAGGUUGUUUGGCCGGACAAGGCCCGAAGCGGAGUUGCGUGUUUGGGGUUUGCUGCGGAUAAUGUCAGCAUUAUUGGGACUCAUCAACACAGUGGCUGGAAUCUGCUCUACAACAAUGAACGCAACACUGUUGCAUUCGGCCCCGGAAAUUGCUGACGGCUAUAUAAUUCGGCUGAUGUACUGGCCGGAUUAUAUAGACUUUAUCUAUUAUCCGAGCACUCGACUUGGAAACGGACUAAACUGUUGUCCAAAGCAGUCUCUCUUAGAUUUGCCAUCGACAAGCAAGCAACUGUAACAAGUCAAAUUCAUGUAUGUUGUAUCAGUCUUUUUUUUUUCAGUCCAGCAGCAACCAUACUUGUCAUCUGACUUGGUUGGUGUCAAACUGUUACUUUAAACAAUUCCGAUAAGCUUCGGCUGGGUGGGCAGCUUGAAGAUUUGAGCAAACCUCCUCAUAUAUAACCAAUAUAUUAGGGCACCUAUUGAAGAGCUAACCAAAUUGUCACCUCCGUCUAUGAGCCCGCAUGAGAAGUUUGGCAAUAGCAGCACAAGAGCCUGACAACUGCCGGUGGUGGAUGAAUAAUGAGAGCGGCAACGAAAGAGAGUUCCGACAUCUGUUGACAGUGGUAGCGCGGAGGUCCGACGAUUACAGCGACGGAGGUCCAAAUCGGCACCGACAGAGGUCCAUGUGGCGACAGAGGUAGCUAGCAUUUGUAAUUCGAAAACACAUUAUUGUGUAGAACAUACCUAAUGUGUAGUAUUUGUAAACCGUACAAAAAAGAUACUGAAUUGAAAUUUAAUAUUUUCAAAUUUCCAACACACAACGUUACUAGCUGCUGCGGUAUACCACCCGCACCCGAAUAUUAAUAUAUAUUCCCUUGAAUUCAAAAAGAGCUACAUCCUCCAGAGUUGAAGGCCAAUUUCUUGGCAUUGAUGUCAUAGUAAACUUUCAACCCUCGAUGCUGUUGAUUCCCAACAAUAGUCAAAUCCCCCUCAUUCCCAUUACCGGCAAACGCCAAGCACACUCGAGACAUUGGAUUCUCAUCUCCUUCCUUCAAUACCACCGCCGACGGAUCCAACUUCACAUCCACCGAAUCCUCAAAGUGCAGCAUCAUCUCCGGCGGACUCCAAUCGCUCUCGAGUACUCCUUCCAGGUUAUAACAACUAUCCAACAGCUUAGUCCGCUCUGCUUCAACAAAACCAGACAUCAAUCCCCGAAACGCCGCCCGAAGCUCCGUAUACACAGCCAUAGGAAGGCGGGUCACAAUCGUCCCGGAAUCGAUGAUCGUGUUCAUUUGGGACGAAGAAGAUGGUGGUAACAAGGACGCGAAGUCCAAUCUCCGACGUCCGAUUGUUAUCCCGGUGAAUUUAACGAAGUAGUUCGUGAGGCCAUUGUUGUUGUUGGGAUGAAUAUCAAGCGAGAUCAUCUUGGCGGAAGGUGAUUGCGGACGGCAGGUCUCCAUCGCCUGGACGCCGAACCAGAGCGAUCCGGUUGAGGAAUCGGUGAGCGGAAGGCAGUAGCAGAACAAGCCGAGGAGAGUCGCGUCCGUUUGCGCUAACAGGGAGAAAUAGCCAUGUCCUAAACCAAGCACGCCAACUGCUCGACCAAAUUCCCCAACAGACUUUUCAGCGCAACCGAAUAUGAAUCCUUUGUUAACCAAGGCGUCCAAGGAAAGCGUGUCGUUUGCGUAAACCCCGGAAGAUUGCGAGCCGUCGUGGUAGUCGACGGCGUAGUUGCAGUUUGUGCCGCAGGAGACCGCGGACGAGGUUAGUGACAGAGAAGGGUUGAAAGAACUAUCGGCGGAGGAGGCGCCGGAGGAAGAGUUGCAUUUGACCCAACUGGUGUCGCUGCCGGUGUCGAAGAGCAAGUCGAAAUCGUGUCUGGGAGUGCCGAGUCCUACAGUGAUGAUGAAGGAUCCUUGGUCCGGUGUGAGAGUCAGGGUGGUUCCUAACCCGAAUUCAUCGGUAUGAAUUGGUGAUUCCUGCUGCAAAAUCCUGGCGGCAUCAGCGCUGAUCAAAAGAUAUGACGACGACGCUAGUGUAAUCAUAAGGUAUAAAUUAUGAAGAACAGAAAGCAUGGAUGUUUUGGAAUUUGCAGAUGCCAUGGUUACGGCUGGAUAAUCUAUUCUACGGUAGCUAAGAAUUUAUUAUAAUUCGUAUUUUCUGUUUCUGUUGACUGAUGAUAUAAGAUUAGAAUUUAAUUGAAUCUUCAUUCCAUGGCUGUCAUCAAGCAUCAAUCCAAGGAGGACUGGAUUGACUUGUACCAGUGGCACAGGCCAAAGAUUCUGAAUCGGGAGCUAGAGAUUUGGCUUCUGGAUCAAGUGGAAAAGGUUAUCAAAAAUAAAUCUCAACUGUCCAAAAAUCAUAUUUUAGAUCUAACGGCUGAAAAUAUGAGGGGCAAAUUUGAUAUUUUAUAAUCAUACAAAUGUGUAUAAUACUUUGUAUAGUACUUUGUAUGAUAUUUAAUAUUACAUUUUGUACAAAAGUCAUACAAAUGUGUAUACACUUCUGUAAAAGUUUGUACAAACCAAUACACAUUUGUAUGAUCUGCACAAUUCUUGUACAAAGCUGUACACCGAUCGUCGGAAUAUACUUCCAAGAAAAUUUUUAAAAAAUCUGAAAUAUAAAGCUGACGACUGUAUCACAUGAGUGUAAAAACUUUCGUCAAUGGAGGUCGAAAUCGCUGGAAAAUUAACCAAAAAACUUUCGUCAAUGGAGGUGGCUGACUUCUAAUCCAGCUUACUUACAACAAUAUGAUUAUAUUGCUCCUGAUUAAUCGAUUUUUAGAUUAUAUAAAGAUUCAAGAAUUCAGAUUACUCCCGAUCAUAUCCGAAAAGCAAUGACCUUGGCUCCCGGACUUAGAGUUCAAACGGGGCUGAGAAAUUUCCAUGGUAUUUGAUUUCGAUCAUUCGAUGGUGUCUGUCAGUCAAACAGAUGCUGGAAAUUUUAGAGAUGAACUUUGGCUCUCAAGUCAACUAGCAGCAACAAAGCUAUCCAAUAUAAUAUAAUGAAAUUGACAAGCACUCUAUCUUUAUCUUACAUAUAUUGAACACAUUUUCCAUUAAUCUCAAACCAUGGAUGUACUCCAAGAACAACCCUAAUGUGGAUUCAGCAACCAUGGCGAAGGAAUUGAAAGAAACACAUGCUUGUGAAGUGACUACUCGUACCUGCUAUUGAGCUAAGGUUCGUGCCAAAGAGAUGCUGGAGGGGUACACUUGAUGAGUCAUAUGAAAAACUGAGGUCAUACAUUGCAGAGUUAUAAAGAGUGACCCUACUGGCAGGAUUGCAUUGGAGGGACAGGAUGAACAAUGAGGAAAAAUGACCCUACUGGCAGGUUUGCAUUAGAGUGACCCAAUCUAGUCUUCAUAAUUUUGCUAUGUGGAAAAAUGAGUUUUCUCUGACUCAUUUUGCACAGGGACAGGAUGAACAAUGAGGAUCAGGAAGCAAAGGACUUGGUCUAAUGCCUUGAGCUCCAGGGAAACUUGAUUUGAUUCGUUGAGUCAAAUCAAGAUGGGGGAUGUCCUCAUGAGUCAUCAGUUUCGUUGACCCAUAUUUAAUUUGACUGGUCUUAAAAUCUCGAUAAACAUUUUAAUUAGCCAAUUCUAUACAAAAUCGGAAUAAUAGCAUCACCGAUUUUAUGGCAGACGUGAGGCUCUAAAUUAUCCUAACAUAGUUGCCACACAUAUGAUUAUGUUUUUGACAAAUAAACCAUCAACUCUUGUAUUAUCGAAAGAAUAAUAGUGUAGAAGCAUACAAAACACCCAUCCGAGGUGCAGUCCUAGCGAACAAGUCUACAUGAAUCGCGGGUCCUUACAAGUAAAUGAUCUCAACCUUUUCUCUCCAACCUAACGGGCAAUAAAUCCAAAGAUAGAACCAAGUUUAAGAAACCAACAAACAGGAAAACAAACUGACAAAAGAAAGCCAACCGAAGUUUAAAAUAGACCUAGCGAGCAUGAAUGAAAUCAUUCUUAUUAGGCUAUCACCGAGGGAGGUUAGGACCUCAGCUGGCUCGGCAUCGGGCUUCAGUGUGGCAUACCAGUCGCUCGGAGCUGACUGUUUGUUGGUGCUGAAGGUGAGAUUUGGCCCUUUUUUCGGGGUGACUUGUGUGCUGACGUACUGAGAUUUAGUUCCAUCUCCAUUGGGUCCAACGUAGUCAGCUCGCACCUACGACGUUUCUUGUCAUCCACAGCGGCUCGGUCUCCAUCUUCUAUUGCUAGGAUCUCGAGCUCAGAAUUACCCGGCGUCGAAUGUGGUCGCGGCCUAAUGAAGGGUUUCCGGGUAGCGGCUGCUUCAGUUUGUUUCUGCUCGGGUGUUCGCUUCUUCAUUAAGCUCCAGUGAUGCUGCAUAUCUUUCCAAGUUGGAACUUGAUCGAGUCGUCCCAUUGGAAUGCAAGAUGUUCCUCAGGGUACCGGCAACGGAGUACACACUUCUUUUCCACGUGGUCCAUAAUCUCACAGAUAUAACAGAAACACGGAAGUCGCUCGUAUUUAAACUUGCACGUUAGCUCUGAUCCGUCGUGAAGGCUGAUUGUAAUAAUUUGCAUCCCUUGUGUAUCUAGUUGAUACAUUUGAAAACAGACAUAUGAUUAUUCGGAUAUAAUAAAAUAAAAUAAUUAAUAUACAGAAGCAAGUGAACAAGUGCCGUCUUUUUCCAUAAGCGCCCAUGUUUGCCAGCGAUUAAUUGUUCGGUUCCAUGAAGAUAUGAUAACGACCCCUUUCUUUGAACCAACACUCGAAAAAAGAAAAACUACCAGAUGGUAGAAACUAAGGUCGAAAUCGAGUAUCGAGAAGAAACAACAAUUGGUGAGCGAACAAGGCUCCACAUAAAGUAUCAAGUAGAGAGAGUCGAUGAAACAUCACAACGAUCAAGGAUGGUGCGAUAAUAAUAUGAUAAUUACCAAGCAUAGACGAAUUUACAUGAUAUUCGAUGAAAAUAGUCGACUAGUCCGCAUAAGAGAAAGGAUAUUAUUAGGGUUUUUAGAAUAGAAAUUGAGAUCGUAUCUCACCGAGAUUAAGUUAAUAAAGAGAGAGAAAAGUGCCGAGUUCGGUCUAACCACUAACAAACCAAACCGAACCGGACUGGCAUGGUGGAUGGUAUCUUGUUCUUUAAAUUGGAAUCUGGGAAAGAAAGGAAGCAGUUAGGUUUGCUUAGUUGGUGGUGACUCAACUUUCCUUCCUUUGCUUCGUAUAUAAUGGAUCGAUCAUCUAUAUCUGUAAACCUGAGCCAGCAAUGCAGAAUAUAUAUGCUGUAUCAAUCAUUCAUUGUCCCAACUAAUUAACAGCUUUUAAUUCGUCACUUUCAAUUAGUAUCGGGUUGGUAGUUGAUACUAUAUUGGGUUCAUCAUAUCGUUAAGUAUUAGAUUAUUAGAUGCCUGCACCAACCUUAUUGUCAAAUCCUAUAUAAAGAUACCGUAAAAGUUAAUUUAAUCGGCUAGUCCUUGCGAACAAAUUAAAUUAGUAAUUACAGUUUUAUGCCGAUAUGAUUUAAUCCUAGUAGCCAGUAGGGUUGUGCUUUGAACCGUUGAGGCCAGUAGAGCGAUACUGGUUGCUUCAAUCAUUGCUCGACGCCAUCGUGUGCGUACACCGGUACCUUGCAAGGCGUCAGUCUGUGUGCGGGGGCGAGUACGUAGUAGGGAUAGUGAUCAUAUAUAGGGGACAAAGUGGAUUAAGGUCUUGGCCGUUGAUAGAACAAUAUCGGGCCAGGAGUAAGCCCCCAAGGUGUGUAGAGUGAUGUACUGAUGCGUAACUAGUUAUAGAAGAAUUUAAGCUAAUGCUAGUUAUAGACGAUUUCAACCGGUUAUUAAGUAGUGUAACUAGUUAUAGAAAGCGAUUUGGUGUAACUAGUUACAUAUAACUACAACUAGUUCUGGAAGGUGGACGAAGAUUCUCGCCGGUGAUCAUGAUUAACUAAUUAUUAAAUCGUGUGUCUGUCGCUUAAACUAGUAAUAUUUAUGGUUUGGCCAACCACCACCAUGACUAUGCAGAAGAUAGUCUUGCAGUCACUGAUGCAUAAUAAUAGUAUGCAGUUUACAGCUACCAACUACCAGAGCCAUGGUUUCAGCUUCACACCUUCAAAUUAACAGUACAGAACAACCACACAAACACAGCGGAUAGAUUCAGCCAUCCGCUGAAUAGAUAAACCGUGGAUAAGCAAUCUUUGCCGGUUUCAUGAUGAAUUUGCUGUCACUGCACUUUUCUUUUUAUUAUCUAUACAAUCAAAUCCCCACACCCACAAAACGCCAUUACCCAACGCGUUUUACAUUCAAUUCUCAAUUUAAUGCAUCCAGAAAAAAGAACGAGCCAUUCAUACAGACCCCCCAAAAAAUAUGAAAAUCCAACUGGAAAAUGAAACCCAACUAACCGCCCCUCAACUUUAUGAACAAUUACAGUUUUGCCAUCGUUCAUCUCAAUUCAUCGUUCCUUCAUGAUGGUUCACCUUCGCCAACCCAAUCGACCCUCGCCCGCCGCCCGUCUGCGUUUCCACAACCGUCGCCGACGACAUCUCCAUCUGACAAACCCUAACAGCUCCCAACAACCUCUCCGGCAGCUCCUCUUCCUCCUGCGCCUCCACCACGAACCCCAUGUCGAUCGUCACGCUGGUCACGCACCCCAACGCCAGGUGCAGUAUCGCCGUCGCUAUCGCCGAGCUCCCUAUGUCCACAUCGAUCUCCAAGUAAUUAGGUCCUCUAUGGUAAUUGCACGUCAGCGCUUUCCCCAAAAGGCACGCGCUGUAAUUCCCCACAGUUUUCCUCACGAUCCACGGCCCCUUCACUAUCCGGUUCACGAUCUUGAACCGCUGGUUCCGGUACGCGUCGUCUCCAUUCACGAAUUUGUACAGGUGGCUCUCCGGAGGAAGCGGAUCUUCCGAAGCGAAGUAGAAAACUGCGCUGUGUUGGUCUUUCCCGCCCGGGACCUGGAGGUUCACGGCGAGGAUGAAGCUUUUCUGUGACUCCCCUUCAGACUGAGCCUUCCGUAGGGCCUUGGAAACUCGAUUGUCGGGGCGGCCGAGGACGUUAUCGAGUUUUGUAGCGGAUUUGAGCCAAUCCAUGCCGGCGGGGGAGAGCAGGUAGUCGCCAGCGGGGGAUUUUUUAUUAUUGGUGAAGAAAUUCUUAGAGCGGAGAGAGAAGAGGUUACCGGGAGGUGAAGCCCAGCCGUUUUUUCCGGUUUCGAGGUCGACGUGGCGGAGGGAUCCGCCGUUGAUUGCCUCCGAGAUCCAAUCGGGAGUGGGGGAGUCCUGGAGAUUCUGUCUGGCCGGGGACAUGGUUUUCACUCUCACCUGACUGGGUUUCGUUCUCAAUUAGGAAUUUGGUAAUUUCGUGUUCCGGCGAGUAUUUUGAUCAGGGGGACUGGAGGAGUAGACGGAGGACUCUCUGCAAAGGAGAGAAAGUGAGCCGCUGCACGGUUGGAUGAACUAAUAAGAGGCCAUGGAAACUUUCUGCCCUUAAUAUUCUGAGAAACACGGAAAAGCCAGUAUACAGCUCACCAUCACUUUUUAUGAUUAUCCACCUAUUUUUUUAGAGAAAAUAUACAUAUGCACUUUUGUAUUAUGUGAAAUUCAUAUUGCCAUUUAUUUACUAAAUUUUAAUCAAUUAAAAUUUAACAGGUUAGAUUGAUUAAAAUUUAAUAAAAAAAUAUUGAUAUAAAUUUUGUAUAGUACAAAUAUAUAUUUUCUCUUUAGGUUGAUUGUAUGUUAUUCAUGUUUUCAUACUUGUAUAAUAAUUAUGUAUGCUCUUCUCAAGUGGUUAGCAGAGUUUUUUAUAUUUCGGCAUAGACCUUCCGCAUAUGUGAGGUAUUACUAUAUUUAAAUUUAAAACAUUCAAAUCAAUAGCACAUAACUCUAUCACCUGAACGCAUUCACUGUGACUAACUAACCAGUUGCAACGCAUCCACUUGAACUAACUAACCAGUUGCAACACAUCUGAAAUCUAAAUGACUUUAUUGGGUCACAUCGUUAGCUUUCUGACUAGAAUUUCCAAUUUUCUGUUUAGAUAAUAAAUCCACAGCGACCAUGACACUCACAUUACUUCAACGGCUGGGGUCUCCAAAAGACGCCACCGGCGACGGAGGGUGUUUUUUCUGACCUAAUGAGACAUGACCAAAUGAGACAUUCCAAACUUUUCAUUCAGGUUUGGUAAAGAAAGAGUUACAUCUGAAUACAAUUAAACAAACAAACCAAAAUGGCAACAAAAGUAAGAAACUGAAGGUUAGUGGCUGUAAAUGAUGUUGGAUUUAAGCCGGUCUGAACAUCAACCCAGACUUUUCAAACCUGCCAAUGCCACAUUCUAAAGACUAAGAGGGUCUGUACAACAGGAAUCGCCACAGAGAGCAAGAGGAAGAUCAACAGACAAACAUAAGACUACAACUAAUGAGACACCAGUAACGUGUACAUCUCCAGUCCAGACUGACUGCAACCCGCAUUCCAAGCACCAACUACCUGCAAAUCCAAAAUCCAAAACCAUUGCACUCAGUUUGAUCAGUGGAUUUGUGAAAGACAUAAAUCAUCUCCAACAUCCAAAAGAAGAAAUAUAACAAGAUUUGCAUUGCGUCUUUUGAGCCGUCAUAGUUUCUUUGACAGAUGCAAGGCCCUUUAGACAGACAUAUGUUUGUUCUAUAAGUUUCAAACUCUGCUGGCCAAUUGGUGAAGUGGUGCUGAGUAAGUGAAAGCACAGAGAUGAGCACAUCACAACUCUGUAACUCGCCUUAUAGCUUCGCAUACUGAAUAACUAAAUGCAAGAAUCAAGUACAACUGUGGAAAGAUCUCUCUAGGAAAUGGAUGAGAUUCUAGGUUUUUCUGGUUUACUUCAAGUUGAGAUUCCCCGAAAACAACAAACGAUUUCACAUUAAGCACAUCAUUUUUCGUCACAAUCAUUUGAGUGAUUCUGCAAAAUAGUAGCGGCAACUCCAAGAGAUCACAGCAAGCAGAUGCAAUGAUCAGCCCUAGUUGUUCCGAACUUCUAAGAAUAAGUCAAAACGAAUAUUUAUAAUGAGUAACUACUUAAAUAUACUAAUGAUUCUACUUAAUGUUGGAGGACUAGGAACAGAUACCACACCAUCACACAUUAGUUCAUCCAGGCCGAAGUACUAACUAUAUCAACAAAAUGAACGCCAAAUGGUAGUCCCAUGAAGCAAACAUAAUCCAACCAACACCUCUUCUUUCCACAAACACUAAGUUCCAACAAAACAGACAGUAAUCUCCGUCUUCCUGUGGCAAGAGACGGAUGAAAUAGGUUUCUAUCAUAUUCGCAGAAACGAUUACUACACGAAAGUAAAACCAUCUAUCCUAGCUCAUUUUGCACAAACUAGCUCAGCAAAACAACAAGUGAAACCGGAAUCAGGACAUUGAUCCAUCAAAACAAACAGCAGCGAAAGCUAACCAACCUCAAAGGCGCCUCAAUAUGCCUUUCUUCUCAUUGGCUUCUUAUCAGUGGCGAGUCGGUAAAUCCAGUAAACCUAAAGUCCAAUUCACAGGCAAAGAUAAUCAGAACAAGAUCGAACUAAAACUUCACCUGAACACAUUUUGGAAAGGAAUUUCAGUUCAGGAGGAGAGAUUACCAAAGCAAGGAUAUGAGCUGCUAUUAGCACUACCACGAUGAAAGGCACCAAAUCCAGGAACCACGGUCGCGGCAUUAAGUCCCUAGCCAUUUCUUCUUAGCUGAGGAAUCGCAAGAACAACCAAAGACCAACGAAGUAUCAGCUGACUCGCCGUCGCCCGAUCGGUGAUAACCCCUCAGAAUCAGGGCUUUCCAAAUGACUCGGCAUCCAGCAUCUACAGGCUUCUGCUGUGCGGGGCGAAUCGGAGAUCGGUCACUCACUGGAUUAACAUAUUCGUUUCCAUUAAGGUCUUCAAAUUACUUUUUGUUUCCUUUCAGAUCCUUCAAUGAUAAUUGUCAUCUCAUUCAGGUCACUACUGUUUUUACCGGGGCUGAACUAAACUUGGGCUCACG
rnacentral:lncRNA from 1 species